rnacentral:lncRNA from 1 species
GUAACGUCUAGGGAUUGCAGAUUGCAUAAAUCACACAUGGUUUCUGGCAGGGACUCCAACUGAUAACAAGAUGCCACAUUGAGGUGUCUCAAAUGUAUCAAAUUCCCUACCUCGUUUGGUAUUUCUUUGAUUGAAGACCUUGUCAAAUUCAAUGACCUGAUGCAUGUCAACUGCUUGAACAAAUCAGGCAGUGCAACUCCAAGCGAAGGGUCUCUAGUGUCCAUCAAGAGGCUGCGAAGACCUUUUGCUUUGUGAAUGGACUUGGGAAACGAGCUCUCCUCUGACAGCAUCAUGCUUAAAUGACGAACCCUUUCAAUUGAAGUCUCCACUGUUGCUUUUCCAAGUUUACUGGCAUCCACUGUUAGACAUUCAUUUUUUGUCAUAUAUUGGGAAAAAUCAUGCACUAUAUCAUGCAUCUUGAAUUUCAUUCCUUCACACCAAUCCAUCUCAAAAUCUUGGAAGAAAGAACGCGCUGCUAAGACUUGAAAGUACUGCUCUCCUACACCCGAAGUCUCCUUGAGGUAACCUUGAGCUAUCCACAUCUUCACCAAUUCAUAUUUUCCCAUCUUGUAGUCUUUUGGAAACAUGGCACAAUACAAGAAACAUCGUCUUACCACAGAAGGUAAAUCGUAGUAACUCAAAAGCAAAGGUAUAAAUAUGCGUCUUUCAACCUGAUCUCUAUCAACCUCAUCUAGCCUCCACAGUUCGCUAGAUAAAACACGUUCCCACUCUUCUCUUGUUAUUUUAGACUGCAUUAGACCGCCUAAUACCUUGGCAGCUAGAGGGAAGCCCUUGCACUUGUUUGCAAUUUUAUCUCCGAUAUCUGUCAAUCUUUCGCACUCAUCUUCGCUUCUUUCCUGGAAUGCCACAUGAUUGAAUAUUGAACUGCAUAUCUCAUCGGACAAUUUCUCAAUGUUGAUCCGGUGGUCAGUUCCCAUCAUCGUUGCCACAGCGUCCUUACGAGUGGUCACUAGAAUUCUGCUUCCUCGUGCACAGCCUGUGAGAGAUGGUUUCAGUUGUUCCCAUUGUCCAUGAUUUUCUGUCCAGACAUCAUCAAGGACAAGAAGGAACCUCUUUCCCUUAAUGGAUUCAGAAACCCUUCGCAAAAGGGAUUGCAAUCCUACCAAAUCAGAUGCCCUCCCUUCAAGCUCCUCAAGGAUACCUUUGGCUAUUCUAACCUCAUCAAAUGGUUCUGAAACACACACCCAUAUCUUUUUCUCAAAAUGAGCCGUAACCUCAGCAUCAUUAAAAGCUAGUUGGGCGAGAGUUGUUUUUCCAAUUCCGCCCAGCCCUACUACAGAGAUGACAUCCACGUCCCGUGCUUCUUGACUACUUUCAGCCAGCAACUUGCUUACAACAUUUCUCUUUUCACCAUCUCGACCAAUCACGCUUGAUUCAUCAAACAAAGGAGGUAGUUGUUAGUCGCUGGAGUUCAUCAGUGGCUUUGUACAGAUCAAAGCCAUACUUAGCUCUCUGUUUGGCAAUGUCAUCCACUUUUUCACAAACUUCUUUGAUCUUCAGGGCAAUGCCGCGACGUCGAACCACUUGAUUGAAACAAAAGCAAGGAGAUCCCAGGAAGGAACACCGUAUCUUCUGUCGGCUGUGAGUAUUUUCUUCAGCUUCCUCCAUUUUCCAUCUAAGAAUUGCAGUGCUCCAUUCAUCUAGCACGUCAUUCAUAUCAUAACAUGCAUCUUUGAGCUUGUCUACCCAAUAUCUUACAGCCUUAUCCUUAACUUGUUUUCUAUCUGCAUCUUCAAGGACAGACUGGAUAUCAAGGAGAUUGCUUUUCAGCCUGUCGACUUGUUUCUUCACACCCACUACUAGGUUCACCUCUUCUUGUACCUAUUAGUGUACAAAAGAUAAGGAAGUUCAGGCAGAGGAAACAUUUCUAUGAUUUCACUGCAAAUUUUUAAUUUUAAUUUUUUGUAAUUAAUAGAUUAAUAAUUUUUUUUAAUCUUUUUUUCGCAGUAGCUGACACGUACAGUGAAAUGGAUUUGCUAUAUUAAAAUAUAUAUUAAAAUCCUAUAUAUUAAAGAUAAUAAUAUUUCUUUUUAUCAUCAUCAUGAUGAUAUCUGCCUGCACUCUGCUACUAUACAAGAAGGAAGAAACCUAUAUAUAACAUAAGCUUGUUGGAUCAAAGAAACAUAGAGAAUGAAAGGAUCUGUAUUUGUUGGUAUUUGUAAAGUCUAUAGUUUUAAAGUGAAAAAUAUUCUUCCUUCAUAACACUCACUAAUUAUUUUAACAUUUGAUUGAUUAUUUUACAGUUUAGUGAGAGGAUCGACAACUACUACUCCUUUUUCCUUCUAAGGAUAUUUGUUUUAGAUUAUUUCCGGAAAUAUGAAAAACAAUAAAACAAUAAAAAGAAAUUUCUUUAAUAAAAUCCAAAUCUAGAUCUGAGGAUUUGAUAUUUUAUUUUAUUUUUCUAAUAAAGGAAGAAAAAGAGACUUCAUUUUUAUAUUUCUUAUUCAUGUAAGGGUUAAUUAGAUCGUUGCAAAUUUUACAGUUAAGCAGUAGUUUGCUGAUUGAAAUGACUGUAAAUGGAUCCCAAUUGGAAACUGUCAUAAUUGAACUGCGAGCUCCGUUUUAUGUUUCUUCAGAACAUCAGUUUCCAUCGUGAUGCCUUCUUCCUUCAUCAAAAAGUGGGCAAAAUCAUAGGAGUAUGUGUCGCCUCUUCAACUUUAAAGAGUCCUCCUUCUUUUCUUGAAAAUCCUGGAAAAAAAGCUAAGAUUUUGAAGUACUCCUUACCAGCCAGCUCCAUUUGAUCUGUAUGGAAACGGACAGCUCUCCAUCAAUCAGCAACGGAGGGGUAGGGAGGUGAAGAAGAGAGGGAAUAGAUGAAAUCCCUAAUAGUAGCUUGGUGUUUUUUGUUCCAAUGACCAAACCAGAUAAUGUACGAGUUGACAGGUGCAGCCAGAACAGGCCCCUAGAAAAGCAACUGAAGGUCUACUACAUCAGAUGACCCUUCAUAGUUCUUGGCCCGGUUGAAUAGGUCGUCUAGACAAACAAAACAGAGAGAGCAAGAGUACAUUGUGUAGCAUAAGCUUAUUAUGCAUUUAAGUCUUUAGACUUUUUUUAUUAUUAUUAUUAACGUAGGUGUCCAGGUCAGCUUCCGCGCACCUUGAUUAAUCUCACGGGCACAUUGUCAGAAAUUACAGCAAGAAAUUCUGUAAUUAUUGUAAGAAAGAAGGGCAUGUAAUCAAGGAAUGUCGUCUGCGACCACAAAAUCGACAAGGAUUUACUGUGCAGUCGAAAUUGGGGGCUGCUUUUAUGGCCGCCGAAGCCGUGUCCUCACCAUCGACACUGGAAUCUUCAUCGUCGGUGAGCUCUUCGUCGAGCACUCUCACUCCCGAGAUGGUGCAGUAGAUGAUAAUAUCUACCUUCUCUGCACUCGGGAUUUCUGGUAAGAAAAAUAAACUUAACUUUCCCUUAGAUUCAGCACAUAAUAAACAAUGGUUAAUGGAUUUGGCAUCGUCUAAUCACAUGACCAACAGUGAAAAUGGGUUGUGUAAUGUGCUAAAAUACAUGGGUAAUUAGCAUAUACAGGUAGCAAAUGGUGAUAAUCUGCCAAUUUUGUCGAUUGGUAAUUUGGGGUCUUACUUCAAUAAUAUUUUUGUGUCACCAAAAUUAUCAACAAGUUUACUCUCUGUUGGUCAAAUGGUAGAAAAUAACUGUGAAAUUCACUUUGAUCAUCAUGGUUGUUGUGUGCAGGAUCAAGUGUCGGGGGAAGGUAAUCGCGAAGGGGCCUAAAGUGGGACGUUUAUUUCCAAUACAAUUUUCUAUUCCUAGUAUUAAUUCUUGUGCUUAUUCUACUCUCAUUCAUAAUCCUCAUUUUUGGCAUAAGAAAUUAGGGCAUUCUAAUUCUAAUGUAUUGACUUAUCUUAUGAAACAUGGAUAUUUGGGGAAUAUAAACUCUUUUUCAACAGAAUUUUUGGAUUGUAGUUCUUGCAAAUUGGGUAAAAGCAAAGCAUUAUCAUUCCCUUCACAUGGUAGUUGUGCUUCUAAAUGUUUUGAAAUUAUUCAUACUGAUGUAUGGGGCAUAAGCCCUGUUAUCUCUCAUGCUAAGUAUAAAUAUUUUGUCACGUUUGUUGCUACCUAAUUUUUGAUAAAUUUUCAGAAAAAUCAAAAAUAGCAAAAAAAACAAAGAAAAACCCAAAAAUAUAUUUUUGAUGUAUUUGCAUCGUUUUUAGCAUUUUCAAUGCCAUCUCAAAAGAAUUUAAAUUUUUAAAGGAAUUUUGGAACGCGUUCAACUUUUAACGCGUAAAAUUUUAUGAUCACUGAUUUUUAUUUUUGAGUUGACGGUGAUAUUGCUCGCUUUCGAAAACACAAAAAAAGAGAGAAAAUCAAAAUUUAAGAAAAAAAAGAGGAAAAGUUGAGGGACCAUUGUGAUUUUGGCCAUGCCACAUUUCUCCUAUAAAUACUAAGCUACAGUAAUGAACCAAGGGGCGAAAAAUAGACACAGGGAGAAAAAUGGUUUCACGGGGGAGAAAUUUACAUGGGGGGAAAGGCAAGUAGAAAAAAACCCUAAAGCCAAAAAAAAAAACCUAGAAACUAAAAAAACCCUUUCUUCCCCGGCAGCCGCCCUUGGCCUUUGAAAAAAACCUAGAACUAAUGAUUUUCUUCCUUAGCCACAACGCUGACCUCUCUUUUUGAAAAAGGGAGGAACAGACCGCCGCUGCAGAGUCUUUGAAAGGAAAAAGUCACCUGGCUAGGCGUUUCAAACAGCCCCGCCUCUCCUCUCUCCUUUUCUUCUCCCGAAACUAGCCAAAACUGACCCUCUCACUCUCAGCACAAAGCAGCCGCCCCCUUUACCCCCAUCUUCUUCUCCCUCAACCGACAGAUCUCACCCUCCAAUAGCAACCCCUCUUGCACGAAAAAACCCAGAGAAACCGUCCCUAAGCUCUCCAUUUUCCCUGCAGGAGGAGAGAAACCCACCGGACACAAGCCUUCUCCAGGUCUCCCCCGGAGCCGCCGCCCCCCAUCGUCUUGGAUUUGUUUCUCUCCCGAGACCAGCCGGCCACUCAUUUUUUCCCUUGGCUUGCUAAACAAAGCGGAGAAACUGGAGAGCAUCAGACUGACCUCUCUCUCCCUCGGCCGACCACCAUCAACCGGUCAACAGCAGCAUCUUCCCUUCUCCUGCAGCUCGUUACAGAGACAAUGAGAAGGGAGGCCAGAGGAUAGUGAAGAAGGGGCAGAAAACCGAAGCUUGGAUGGGCGCCGAUCUCGCAACCAUGGCAGCGGUGGACAACACCACCGUUGCAGAAACGAAAUGGGAGGAAGGGAAGUUGCUGAUCCAGCCAUCCACACGCCUGGUCUGUGGGCGGCGCGUGUAACGCCCAGCUUCAGAUUCGGCAGAUUUGAAGAAAAGAGAGGAGAAGCAGAUCCGAAAACAGUGAUUGAAAAAUAACUAAAAUCAGCUGGCUUUUUGUGCUUUGAUUUUUCUUUGCAGGUCACCACCGGUGGAAGAGGGGAUGAGGCCGUUGAAGACCCCCUGUGUUGUGUGGAUUUUUGCGGCGGCGCGUGGAUGCACGCGCCGCUACUGUUCAGGCAGCUCCAAAAAUUGUUUUCCUGAAUUUUUGGGACUAUUCUGUAAUUUUCAAUUAUGUGAUGUAAUUUUUGUUUAGUUUUGAAUUUUUUAUUUGUAUGUUGUGAAUUUGAAUGUAACAAAAAAAACAAAAAAAAAAGAAAGAAGAGAAAGGAAAAGAAAAAUAAAUAAUAUAAAGAAAGUUGUGUGUGUGUUUGUUUUUUUAUUUAUGUUAUUGAAUUAUAAAAAUAAAAAAAGGACAAAAAGAAUUAUUUGUUUAAUUUGAAUAUGGUUAAAUAUUUAAGGACAAAUAAAAUUAUGUUAUAUUUUCUAUGAAAGUGUAAGAACAUGUUUUUACACGUAUUCAGGGAUUUAAUAAUUGAUUUAUUAAAGUCUUAGAAUUUGAUUAAUAUUUUAAAUUUUCAAAUCAUAUCAAACCACGAAGCAGCUUAGCUCAGGUAGGGUGCUGUAGGGGUACUAAUACCUUUUCUAGCCACAAUCAGUCCCUUACCCUAGAAUCUCUGACCACGACCAGUAAAUCAUGGUUUUCUAGUAACCCUCUAUUAAAUACUAGGUGGCGACUCUCAAAGAACCAAUCAAGCAAAGACAACGAAAAAUUGCCAAAUCACCGCGUGGGGGACGUGCGACAAUGUUUAUUGAUGAUUUCAGUCGUUUCACUUGGAUAUAUUUUCUUCGAUCUAAGACUGAUUUAUUCUUAACAUUUCAGGCUUUCGUUGUAUUUAUUGAAAAUCAAUUUUCUACUCAUAUUAAAAUACUUUGUUCUGACUCCGGGGGGGAAUAUGUGUCCAAAGAACUUCAGGAAUAUCUCAAAAACAAAGGGAUUCUCUCUCAAAGAUCUUGUCCUUACAUUCCUUAACAAAAUGGAGUUGCUGAGCGUAAGAAUCCUCAUCUUUUAGAUGUUCGCACCUUAUUAAUUGAUUCUUUGGUACCUACUCGAUUUUGGGUAGAAGCACUGUCCACAGUCGUUCAUCUAAUUAAUUGUUUGCCUUCACAAGUACUAAACUUUGCAUCUCCAUACUCUAUUUUAUUUGGUGUUAUUCCUAAGUAUGAUUCUCUCCGUGUUUUUGGGUGUGUUUGUUUUGUUCACUUACCAUCUACUGAACGUAAUAAACUUUUAGCCCAAGCUGCUCGUUGUGCUUUUCUAGGAUACAAUAAUUUUCAUAAAGGAUUUGUGUGUUAUGAUGCAAAUGCUCAUAAAAUUCAUCUCUUGAAAUGUAAUUUUUUUUUUAAAUCAGAAUUUUUUCCCUUCUUAUCCCUCUACAAAAUCCACUCCUAUCCAACUUCCCACAUUUGAUGAUCAUAGUCCAUCUUAUAUCUUUGAAUGUUUUAAGCCAGGAAUUGUAUAUCAAAGACGUCAUCCACCAUCCAUUUUGCCCCUUCCGGACACGAAACCGGCAUCUGAUCAUUCCCCUCAACUAAGACGAUCAACUCGAGUUUCACGUGCCCCAAACAGGUAUGGAUACUAUCAGCAACUACUAUUGAUAGUACUUUUGUGCCUAAGACUUAUGCCCAGGCUUCUACCCAAGACUGUUGGCAACAGGCCAUGAAAGAGGAACUUCAGGCUCUUCAGGAUAAUCACACAUGAGAUAUUGUUUCUUGUCCUACCGGAAUUAAACCUAUUGGCUGCAAAUGGCUAUACGAAAUUAAAGCACGGUUGGUGGCUCUUGGAAAUUGUCAGGCAUAUGGUAUUAAUUAUGAGGAGACAUUUGCACCUGUGGCUAAAAUGACUACCAUACGAACCAUUAUGACAAUUGUUGCUUCCAAAAGAUGGCCACUUCAUCAAAUGGAUGUAAAAAAUGCAUUUUUACAUAGAGACUUGAAAGAGAAUAUUUAUAUGACUCCUCCUUCUGGUAUGUUUACUCACUCAUCCGAUAAAGUCUGCUGGUUGAAACGGUCCCUGUAUGGUCUAAAACAGGCACCCCGGGCAUGGUUUGAAAAAUUUCGCACUACUCUUUAGAAACUUAAAUUUAUUCAGAGCCAAUAUGAUUCCUCUAUGUUUCUUCAGCAAACUACUACUGGUAUUGUUGCUCUUCUGGUAUAUGUUGAUGAUAUUAUCAUUACAGGAUCCGACAUUCCACUCAUUGAGGAUUUACAACAUUCUCUUAACAGUGAAUUUCAUAUGAAGGAUCUGGAACACCUUCACUAUUUCCUUGGUCUACCGGUGCACUCUAUGUCCAGUAGGAUUUCUCUACAUCAGCACAAAUACACCCAAGAGAUUCUUCUUUUGGGCGUUCUUGAAUCAGGGAAUAUCGUUCUUACACCUCUCGAGAUUAAUUUAAAACUUUGUCAUAAUGAUGGUGACCUGUUACCUGAUCCCUCCAUAUACAAGCAGUUGGUGGGCAGUUUGAAUUAUCUAACCAUUACUCGGCCAAAUAUUUCUUUUGUAGUACAACAAGUCAGUCAAUUUUUACAGGCUCCUCGUCAACCUCAUUUAGCUGUUGUCCGAAGAAUUCUUCGCUAUCUUAAAGUCACAUCUGGGCGAGGAUAAUUUUUUCCUGCUGAUAAUUCAUUACAAUUAACAAGUUAUAGUGAUGCAGAUUGGGCAGGGUGCGUGGAUACACGUCGGUCUGUUACUGGGUGGUGUAAGUUUCUUGGAAAUGCUUUGAUUUCAUGGAAAAGCAAAAAGCAAGACCGAAUCUCAAAAUCUUCCAUAGAAUCUGAGUAUCGAGCUAUGUCCUCCGCAUGUUCUGAAAUUGUGUGGCUUCAGGGUUUGCUACGUGAACUUGGUUUUCCUCAGCACACUCCUACACCUCUUCAUGCUGAUAACACAAGUGCUAUUUAGAUUGCUACUAAUCAUGUGUUUCAUGAACGCACCAAACAUAUUGAAGUUGAUUGUCACUACAUUCGUGAAGCUUUUGAUCAUAAUAUUCUUACACUACCUUAUAUUUCCACCGAGCAUCAGACAACUGAUGUCUUUACGAAGGCCUUGUCUCGGCCUCGACAUCAACUCAUGAUAGACAAAUUGAUGCUUCUUGAUCGGCUAGCAUCAAUUUGAGAGGGGAUGUCAUUGUAUAUUAUGGCAAGAAUAUCAAUACUAUAUGGCAACCAAAUUGUAACAGAAUAUCUUGUAUUUAUUAUAGACUACAAAUCAGGGAUUAGAGACAGUAAAUUAGUGAUUAUUACAUGUAUUUAGAGGAUUGAAUUCCUCCUUCUGAAGUCAUUAAUUGAGAGAACAAUUUUACAUUGAAAUUUGAUAUUUGUGACAUGUGACUUGGUGAGAUUCUUCAUUUAUUAUUAUUUCCUUGUGGUGGACACAAUGGUUUACGUAGAUGAACUGAAUUCUUGCAUGACAACAACAAAAUAAGUGUGAUUCAGCACUGUCAAGAAAAAGGUAGAGCAGAGCAACCCUUUUUGACGGAGGCUAAUAAGUUGCAAAAGUUAGUAAGAAGUGGCUCAUUGAGCAACCAAUUAGCCAAGAUGUCUUAUUUCAAACCCUCGUACAGAGGAAUGCCGUAUUUUUAUUUUUCUAAGGAACUGCAUUUUUGUCCCCCUCUUCUCCUUCUUUUUUCCUGUUGAAACAGCAACAGGGUACAUCUACUCCAUGUCAAAGUCUAGUCUAUAACCAGACCAGUAAAGAACAUUGACUUACAAGGAGUUCCAUUGAAGUUUCGAUUAUGAGCAGGCAUGCUUCUAUCCCAAUUUACCACUCUGGGUCAGAUUUCACACUUAUCAGAGCACUGUGAUGACAACAGCAGAAACUAUCUAAUUUCCCACCAAACAUAAAGAGAGCUUUGAAUCUACACACCCGCCAGUUAUAAUCAUUCAAGACAGAUAUGUUAGCUAUAGUUAAGGCCAGAGAGAAACACAAGCUAAAAAAAAAUGCACCUUCUAAUUACCGAGAAGCAUGCAGAAAAAAACCUGUAGACAACUCCAAUAUUGGGUGUCAGAUUCUGUAUUUUCUGAACCUGAAACAACAAGCAAUUAAAUACCAUCAACAACCAACUCAAGUUCUAUACUAUCUUGCAAGUUAUAUACCAUCAAUGAAAUAGUUUUUAUUUAAAGGGAUUAAAAUGACAUCUUUUUACCAAAAUUGUUUUUUCCAAAAAACAUUCAAUAAUAUUUAACCAAGUUUUACCCGAGUCCAUAUAAUUUGAAAGUAAUAAAUCAUAUCAAAUUUCUUUAAAUUAUUAAAUUGGAUCCUUAAUUUUCAAUUCGUCAAAUUAUUAAAUUGGAUCUUCAAUCUCUUUUAUAGGGGGUUUGGUGUCACUGCUUAACUUAAUUAUGAUACUAUAUAUAGUGACCAUUUGUGAUAAUUCUGUUGCAGAUUAAAAAUAUUUAGCGACAUUAAAAGUGUCGUUAAAUAUAUUUUGAAGAGCCAUUACAUGUUGUUUUUUGUUUUUUGUAGUGCAACGAUAGUAAAACAUUAUGUUAAUUUUAGCAACACACCGUGACCAAAUCCAAUGAAGAAACCUAAUAAUCAAAGAAAAUUAGAAAUUUUAAAAUUGAUAUUGGAUUUUUAAAGAUUCAGAUAUUAGGUUAACAUCACAUUUACUAUAACCUUUUAAAUAAAAAAUUAUCAUUGUUUAUGUUUUUCUAAAUUAUUUUAUGCUAUUAUAUUUUUAUUUAUAAUUUAUUUAAGAAUAGACACCGGUUUCUUAGAAUAAAAAACUUGUAAAUUUUUUUGUCAUCCCUAAAAACCAAAGAGUCCAUAGCUUGUCAUUUUAUGACACUAGCCUUGCUAUGUAUAUAUAAUCUCCACGGUUAUAAAAACCAAUAUCUAAAUAGAAGAUUUCAUUAAUUUUUUUACAUUAAUCCCUGAAGACAGUAGAUUUUGUAAUUUCUUGAAUUUUAAUAAAAACUUUGAUGUUAAUCCCUUAAGAUAGAAGAUUUCAUCACUUUUUAAGAUUUAAUGAAAAUUUUGAUGAUAUUCACUAAAAUAGAAGAUUUCAUCAUUUUUUUAAUUUAUAACAAAAUUUUGACGUUAUCUCUAAAAAGUUUUUGUUGUAUAGUAAAAUGGUUUUUAUACAGUAAAAUCCAGUUCCCAUACAGUAGUGUAUAACCUUUUCGGUUUUUAGUAUGGUUUGUUUCUUUGGCUGCUUUUCCAAGAUAAAGUCUUCAUCCGUGAUUUCUUGUUUCAGCAUGAUUUCUUUUCUCUUCAGCAAGCUAGAUGUAUGUUUUGUAAAAGAAGAUUUGAAACUUCAAGCCAUCUCUUCAUUCAUUGUGUUUUUGCCUGGAAGUUAUGAAUGAAAUUCCUAUUUUGGUGGGGGAAUUAGUGAUUCUUUCCCAAAUUCUAUUGAUGAUAUAAUCUACAAAUGAUGCAAGGAAAAUUUCAGAAUCUUUCAUGAUGACAACUUCUCUUUUCUUGUAUUGCAUGGAGUCUAUGGCUACAUUGAAAUGAUGUAAUCUUCAAUGAUGCUAUUCCAGAUCUUAAGGGUUGUUUUUACUUUAUCGAUCCUCCACAGGUUCUCCUUAUGGUUGAAGUUUGAUAGCACAACUUUUGCUUACACCGGUUUGGAUUUAGGGAUCAACUCUGAUGGGAUCUUUUUCGGGGAUAACAGAAGUUGACUUCUUGUUUUUAUCUAUUGUCUGGUCCCUGUUUUCUUCUUCCUGUUAUAGAGUAGAUACCGUGAUUUAGGGAUCAACUAAGGUUCACUGUUGGUUUCUAUGCAAGGCAAGAUUGAGAGUUAUGUGAAUAUAUGAGUUGGAAGGUUAGAGUAAAUGCUGGAUGGUAUUUUUUAUUUUUCCCUCUCAUUGGCGCUGCUCACCAAUAGCUCGGGUGCAUUUGAUGCUGAUGGAGAUGGAACCGAAGCUUAUAUAUUCAGCCACUUCACAUGCUUUUUUUCUUUUAACAGUCGAGUGUAUUAUAAGAAAAUGGCUAAAAAGAUAAUAGCCUAGCAUCCAGAAGUUCUAGCUGACCACAAAAAAAAAAAAAAAAAGCAAACAAGCUUUAGAGGUUUUGAAACAGGGGAAGGAAAACAGUGUGGGAAAAGGAAAAAAACAAUUGAAAUCAGCUCCUCCUUUUUACAAAACCAAUGCCAUCAUAGCUGUUAUGAACAUCCUCGCCAGCAGAGUCUGGAGAAUUGGUAUCAAGUCUCAGCCAUAAUGAGAAACUGCCGAAGAUCAAGGAAAAACAGCUUUGAAGGUUUGGAGCAGCCCUAUUAAAGAUGAUAUCUCCAUAGAAAACCAUUAGUAGUACAUAUCAUCAAUCGAUUUUGUGAAAACAUUGAUAAUACCCCACCGUGAAGGAAUUUCAUUCAUAGAUGCCAAGCAAAGUGGCAGUGGAUGAAGAGGUGACUUGAAGAUUCCAGGUUUUUAUUACAAAAAACACAUCUAGAAGCCACUUCAGAUGCUCAUGAUGAUAUUACAUGUUUCUUCUCUCUGAAUUCAUACAAUCUUUCUUUCAUACACUUCCAUAUUUUUCAGAAAAGAUUGAGGAUGAAGAUACACCAAAUUUAGAUUGCAUCAGAGGUUGCAGUCACUAUCUUUACACGGGGUUGGCUUUUUUUACUUGCUAAAGAUGGCUAACUGUAAUUAGAAUGUUUCUUCUUUUCAAAGUAAUAAAUCUCUGAGUCCUUACAUCUCUAGUUAAUUAUAACUACCUUACCGGUCAUAAUGCUCUUUUCUAUACCUGAUGAAUGAUAUUAUUUCUGAGAUUUUUGAACAUGUAAUGACGGAAGCCUGCGGUGGAUUGGUUCCCUUUGUUACGUUACUGGAGUCGCAAUGUUUCGAGGUAUCUGACCAAAUUAAUUCUCUUGCUUUUUGCAGCAAAUCUGUAUCUCUUGCUACUUGCUAGAGGCGUACUCCCAGGCUACCACUGUUUUGGUGUUGCCUCUCUUACCAUUGUUAUUAGGUUGAAUUAAUUAAAUACCAGAAGAUUUCUGGAUGUGUAAUGACUGUAUGAUUAAACUUACCAGUGCACUGUCAAGGCUGUGGCGCAUGAACUUCAUUCGCGGGCGUGCGUCACCACUGUUCCACCGUGUGCCGUCGCAGCCUUCACCAAUUCCAGUAGCUCCAGUUUUUUUCUCCAUUGCCUCCAUUGAAGGUCCAAUUUUCGAGCUCACAAAACAUGACAUCUUGAGUUUAUUUUUCACGAAUUAUGUUUGUGUUUUGACAAAUCCAACAAUUAUGAUUUGAUUUAGUUGUUUCUAGUUAUGGGACACAAUGUUGUGUUUUUUUAUUAAAAAAAAGAAGAAAAGAAAACAGAGAGAAUGCUAAAAAGAAAGUCACAGCUGCAUGUGAUAGAAUACAUGUAAGUAGGAAAUAAAAUCCAACUCAAGAAUAGAUUACAAAUGAGUUCAAUCCAUUUACAGAAAAAGGGUAUAUAGAAUAUAUUUGUCUGAAGAAUCCCCUGUCUGGAAGUUCUUUGAAUGGGGCUGUGAUGGCAUUUAGAAAGCACAAGCACUAGGGGUCUUGUCUUUCACUAGCAGAAACAUAUUUAUUGUUGAAGAUUUUUUGUGUUAGGUUUAGAUAACUUUAUUUGGAUUUAAUCCACUAAAUUGGUGGGUAUCAUCUCUUAUAGAUGAUACUUUAGCUUCCAAGUCUACCAUUCUCUCAUUUAUUUGGAUGUGUUUUGUAGGGUAGAUAUGGUUGUUUUUCAAAAUGUUUUUUAAUUGAAAAUGCUUUAAAAUAAUUUUUUAAAUAUCAGUUUUUACAUCAACAAUAUAUCAAAAUGAUCUAAAAAUAUUUAUAAAAAAUUAAUUUAAAAUAAAUAAAUAAAAUUUAAAUUUAAAAAAAAAACAAAACACUUACACAAAAACAAAUAGAAUCUUGCUGUGAAUAACAGAAUUUGGUGCUAAAUUUCUUGUUGUGAAUUGCAGAAAACAGUUGCUUGAUCUGCACUAGGAUGGCAAUAGCAAGGUAAUGGAGGAUGUGAGAAAGGUAUAUCCAAGUCGUGCUUCUUUUUUGUAUCUUUCUCCUCAUCCACUAACUCUUGCUUCUUUUUUUCCCGUGAAAAAAUGGAGAGCCGAAAAUAGAUUUGUUAAAAAAUGGAGUUCCUGCAGAUUCCAAUUAAAGAGUUCUGUCUUUCUCCUGUAAUCAUCAAAACAAAUGUUAGGGAUGUGAGAAAUCUUUUGCCAAUCUUCACCCAUCUCCUCCUCCCCGUAACGUUUCUUAAUGGGGCAUCUACUUAUGUCCAGUUCCUGUAGAGGCGCUGCCAAAACAUAGUCUGGUAGUGCUCUCAACAACGGGCAAUUUCAAUAUCAAUCUCGAAGUUGUGGCAUAAUGGAUAUAUUGAAGUUGUGUUGGCAUCUUCUUCUCCCACUCUCCUUCCAAUUCCAUCCCACUCUUCUACUUCUUCGAGAUCCAAAUCAAGUUUUUAAUUUGGGGAAAGCAGUGACCCUUGCAAUUUCUCCUUCAUUAAUACUGGCAUUCUCAUCUUUUUCUAUACCUAAAAAUCCAGCAUCCAACCUUCUCACCUUCAACGACCUCAAACCAGGCUUUCAAGGUUGGGCAAUCUCCCAACGGAGGCAAGACCUCCAGUUCACAAUAACAGAGUUUAAGCUCCUGUAAUCUGGUUAAUGUCAUCAUCCAAUUUGGCAAAUCCAACCCUCCGUACCUAGAUAUGGUUAGAUUUCCAAGUCUGACGGAGGCGUAAAGCUUCAAUUAAAAGCCGUUCUUGCCGGCUCUGUGUCGAAACCAAUAGCAAACAAGCAGGCGCUUCUUAUUCUUGAGUUGUGCUUCUGCAGCGUCACUCGCAUCUUCUACCUCCCCGUAGAUUCCAUAUCUUAAGACUCCCUCCAAUGUGAUUUAAGUUUUUUAAUUCUCUUAGAUUAGCUGCUUUACUUUCAUUCUCACCACCACCACACACAGUAAACACAUCUAAUGUUCGAAGACAUGUUAUCCUCUCUAUUCCCUUUGGUAUGAAGGCCACUCCUGAACCAUAAAUCCGGAGAUGCCUCAAUUUGAUAAGUUUUCCAAUCGCCUUGGCAAUUCCUUGAGAACCACACCAAGUAACGUCUAGGGAUUGCAGAUUGCAUAAAUCACACAUGGUUUCUGGCAGGGACUCCAACUUAACAAAUGCCAAAUUGAGGUGUCUCAAAUGUAUCAAUUUCCCUACCUCGUUUGGUAUUUCUUUGAUUGAAGACCUUGACAAAUUCAAUGACCUGAUGCAUGUCAACUGCUUGAACAAAUCAGGCAGUGCAGCUCCAAGCGAAGGGUCUCUAGUGUCGAUCAAGAGGCUGCGAAGACCUUUUGCUUUGUGAAUGGACACGGGAAAAGAGGUCUCUUGACAGCAUCAUGCUUAAAUGACGAACCCUUUCAAUUGAAGUCUCCAUUGUUGCUCCUGAAGGUUAUUGACAUCCACUGUUAGACAUUCAUUUUUUGUCAUAUAUUGGGCAAAAUCAUGCACUAUAUCAUGCAUCUUGAAUCUAAUAUCUUCUGAUCAUACGUCUUAAAUCUUGGAAGAAAGAGCGCGCUGCUAAGACUUGAAAGUACUGCUCUCCAACAAGCUCCAUAUCUCCACCUGAAGUCUCCUUGAGGUAACCUUGAGCUAUCCACAUCUUCACCAAUUCUAUUUCCCAUCUCGUAGUCUUUUGGAAACAUGGCACAAUACAAGAAACAUCGUCUUACCACAGAAGGUAAAUCGUAGUAACUCAAAAGCAAAGGUAGAAAUAUUCCUCUUUCAACCUGAUCUCUAUCAACCUCAUCUAGCCCCACAAUUCGCUAGAUAAAACACGCUCCCACUCUUCUCUUGUUCUUUUAGACUGCAUUAGACCUCCUAAUACCUUGGCAGCUAGAGGCAAGCCCUUGCACUUGCUUGCAAUUUUUCGCCGAUAUCUGUCAAUCUUUCGCGCUCAUCUUUGCUUCUUUCCUGGAAUGCCACAUGAUUGAAUAUUGACCUGCAUAUCUCAUCGGACAAUUUCUCAAUGUUGAUCCGGUGGUCAGUUCCCAUCAUCGUUGCCACAGAAUGUUUACGAGUGGUCACUAGAAUUCUGCUUCCUGGUGCACGCCUGUGAGAGAUGGUUUCAGUUGUUCCCAUUGUCCAUGAUUUUCUGUCCAUACAUCAUCAAGGACAAGAAGGAACCUCUUUCCCUUAAUGGAUUCAGAAACCCUUUGCAAAAGGGAUUGCAAUUCAACCAAAUCGUGCCUCCCUUCAAGCUGCUCAAGGAUAGCUUUGGCUAUUCUAACCUCAUCAAAUGGAUCUGAACACACACCCAUAUCUUUUUCUCAAAAUGAGCCGUAACCUCAGCAUCAUUAAAAGCUAGUUGGGCGAGAGUUGUUUUUCCAAUUCCGCCCAGCCCUACUAGAGAGAUGACAUCCACGUCCCGUGCUUCCUGACUACUUUCCCAGCAACUUGCUUACUACAGCUUCCCUUUCAUCAUCUCGACCAUCACGAUUGAUUCAUCAACAAGGGAGGUACUUGUUAUUCGUUGGAGUUCAUCAGUGGCUCUGUACAACUCAAAGCCAUACAUAGCUCUCUCUUUGGCAAUCUCAUCCACUUUUUCACAUACUUCUUUGAUCUUGAGGGCAAUGUCGCGACGUCGACCACUUGAUUGAAACAAAAGCAAGGAGAUCCCAGGAAGGAACAUCCAUCUUCUGUAGGCUGUGAGUAUUUUCUUCAGCAUCCCCCAUUUUCCAUCUAAGAAUUGCAGAGCUCCAUUCAUCUAGCACGUCAUCCAUAUCAUAACAUACAUCUUUGAGCUUGUCUACCCAAUCUCUUACUGCCUCAUCCUUCACUUGUUUUCUAUCUGCAUCUUCAAGGACAGAGUGAAUAGCAAGGAGAUUGCUUUUCAGCUUGUCGACUUGUUUCUUCACACCCACUACUAGGUUCACCUCUUCUUGUACCUAUUAGUGUAGAAAAGAUAAGGAAGUUCAAGUAGAGGAAACAUUUCUAUGAUUUCACUGCAAAUUUUUAAUUUUAAUGUUUUGUAAUUAAUAGAUUAGCAGUAGUUGACACGUACUGUGAAAUGGAUUGGCUAUAUUAAUAAUUUAUAUAUAAAAUAUUUAUUAAAAACCUAUAUAUUAAAGAUAAUAAUAUUUCUUUUUAUCAUCAUCAUGAUGAUAUCUGUCUGCAGUCUGCUACUAACAAGAUGGAAGAUAAUGAAUCAUAAAAUUGUUCGACGUCAAACCUAUAAAUAACAUAAGCUUGCUGGAUCAAAGAAAUAUAGAGUAUAAAAGGAUCUGUAUUUGUUGGUAUUUGUAAAGUCUAUAGUUUUAAAGUGAAAAUAUUCUUCCUUUAUAACACUCACUAAUUAUUUUAACAUUUGAUUGAUUAUUUUACAGUUUAAUGAGAGGAUCGACAACUCCCUUUUCCUUCUAAGAAUAUUUGUUUUAGAUUAUUUCCGGAAAUAUGAAAAAUAAUAAUAUAAUAAAGAGAAAUUUCUUUAAUAAAAUACAAAUCUAGAUCUGAGGAUUUGAUAUUUUAUUUUAUUUUUCUUAUAAAGGAAGAAAAAAGACUUCAUUUUUAUAUUUCUUAUUCAUGUUAGGGCUAAUCAGAUCAUUGCAAAUUGUACGAAGUAAUUACCUCUUGAGCAACAAUCCUCGUUAACUGCUCCAAAAUUGGCGAUAAAAGUGCCGCUGCCAUCUGUCUGUUUAAUUUAAUUUAAUUUAAUUAUUUUUGAAAAAGAGACAAUGAUGAUAGGAUGAACUAAGAAAGAGAGAGAAGAGAGUCUGAGUGGAAGGAGGCUGCUGGUUUAUUAGUUAGUUUAUGUACUUAGGGUUUGGUGUGGAGGGUUGAGUUUUGUUUCAGUCCCUGUACUGUUUCUAACACUUCGAUUCAGUCCCUAUAUUAUUGUAGCUUUUCAGUCUAGUCCUGGUUGUAUGUUUCUACUGAGAAUGACAUGCCAUUUUGAGUUCCAAAGGUGAAAUACUCGUGCUUUUCUAACUUUUCCUGGCUAAGGAUUAUUAUUUGUGGAAAGUAAUUUCUUCUUCGAUAUAUAGCAGUUAUUUUGGAUUGAUACUGACCUUAGGUUAAGAAUGCUGAAGUUUCUAUUGAUUAUAGCAAUCUACUGAAAUCCCUGCUUCUCGUCUGCUUCUCUAUUUCUUCUCUUCAUUUUAUGUUAUUCCACUAAUCUUCCAAACUGGAUCAUGGUAAUAUAUAUCUGUCCAUCCAAACUAAUUUACACAAACCAAAAGUAGUAACCAAUUAGUUCUUGUGUAAUGGAAAUACAAACAAGCAUCUAUCUAUCUGGGUUUUUGAGAUCUGGUGAUUUUAUCCUGUUUUCAUAGCAGGGACUGGGGUUUGAUAUUGAUCUUUGAUUUUUGGGUCCGAAAAUGGAUGGUCCAGAUUUGUUGAGGUUGUAUGAUUGGAUUUGUUGAUGGUGCUUGAGAUGAUGCUGUAAAGUAUUUUCUUAUAUAUUUUCUGAUUUUCUGGAGGAAAGGAAAGGACUACAUCACCUUCCUAUCGAUUUUUCUAUCUGCAUCCAUAUACAUUUUGCAAUUAAGUCAUUAUGCUUUAAACUCAUUCCAUGUGCCUUCCCUUACAAGAAAAAAAAGAAAAAGAAAAAACAAGCCCAGGGUACUCAGCUUGGGCUUGGGUUCCCUCAUUAUGACUUGGUGAAUUGGGCAAUCUAAAUACUUUUGGGCUCUGUUUUAAUGGGUUCCAAGGGGAAGAAAACACAACGAUUCUUGAACAAGGAUUUGUGUCCCGUGCGCACUUGAACGAUGGGGGUCUGUUUGCAUUUUGUCAAAAGAGAUGAAAUUCUAAUCAAUGAUGAUGAUGAAAAAAAUAAAUAUAUAAAUUACUAUGUGCAUUCUAUAAUUUAGUUAUAUAAUAUAGUAGAUCUUUACAAAUUAGUAAUUUCAACUUACCAGUAGAAAAAUUAUAGUAGAUCUUUACCAUGAUAUUAUCGAAAUAAAUAAAUAAAUAAAAAUAGAUACACUUCAACACGUCCAUACACUCUUUACCAUGAUAUUAUGUAAAAUGUUAUUCUGAAGUGCCAAGACGGCUUCCUUGAAUUGCAAUAGUAUUUCGAUGUCUUGGUAGUUGAAUUUUUCUCAAUGAGCUCCAGGAAACUCUGUAAUUCUGAUUCUUGCCACCAAGUAACUUCAGGGCAGUCUGGAAAGGAUUUUCAAUGUACUUAUGUUCUUGAUGGAAUCUAAUUAUAAUUCUUAAAAACUUUUCAAUGUACUUCUGGCUUUUAAGCAAGCCUUGUCAGAACAAGAGUCUUGUGAUUAAAUUGUUUCUUCAACUCAAAUAGAUCCCUGAAAAUUAGAAAGGGGAGGCUUAUAAUUAAAUAAUAAAUGACACCAGGGGUAACAACUUAUACCCUGAUAAUCUACUAAUAGACUGACAUGCUGUAUCCAAGAAAUUAUUCCACCCCGUUUUUGGGCUGUGUUCAGAAAAUUAUUACAACCCAUUUUUGGGGUUCAACUUCGGUAUUGUUUAUUAUGUUGUUCGCCUUUUUUAAAUUGUGUUUUUUAAAAUAUAUUUUAUAAUCUUAAUGAAAAAAAAUAUAAAAAUAUAUUUUUAAUUAAAAAAUACUUUUAAAAAAGAUCAUAUCUUGCAUUACUAAACACACAUAUAAUAGAAUACUCGAGGGAUUUUUUUAUAAGCCAAGACUAAAUUUAUUAUUGCUAUUAUUUUAAAGUUCAUUCGUAUUUGUAUUAAACACAUACUAAUUUUCUCUUGAAAUAUGAAAGCAAAAUCCAAAAAAAAAUAAAAUGAAUGCUAAUCAAUAAAAAACAUAUGAAUUUUUUUUAUUUGAGAAUAAAGAAUUUUUUAAAUUUUUUUAUAAAUUAAUUAAAAUUAACCAUUAUUUACAUUAUUUAAGAGCAUUAAAGAAAUUUUUUAAAAAAACUUAACAAAUCUAAAAUUAGAAGUUAUUGUAGUUCUAAAUACUUCCGAGUAUUUAAUUAAUUUUAUUUUUGGAUAUGUUUUUAAAAUAUAUUUUAUUUAAAAAAUAUUAUAUUAAGUUUUUAAAUAUUUUUAAUGAUUUUUAUGUAUUAAUAUUAAAAUGGCAUGUCAUUCUCAGUAGAAACAUACAAUUAAAUUUCAUUAACAGCCAUCUCAAGUUCUAUACUAUCUUGCAAGUUGUAUAACAUCAAUGAAAAAUUUUUUAUUUAAAGGGGUUAAAAUGACAUCUUUUUACCAAAAUUGUUUUUUCUAAAAAAAAUUCAAUAAUAUUUAACCAAGUUUUACCCGAGUCCAUAUAAUUUGAAAGUAAUAAAUCAUAUCAAAUUUCUUUAAAUUAUUAAAUUGGAUCCUUAAUUUUUAAUUUGUCAAAUUAUUAAAUUGGAUCUUCAAUCUCUUUUAUAGGGGGUUUGGUAUCACUGCAUAACUUAAUUAUGACACUAUAUAUAGUGAUCAUUUGUGAUAAUUCUGUUGCAGAUUGAAAAUAUUUAGCGACACUAAAAGUGUCGUUAAAUAUGAGAGCCAUUACAUGUUGUUUUUUGUUUUUUGUAGUGCAACGAUAGUAAAACAUGAUGUUAAUUUUAGCAACACACCGUGACCAAAUGCAACGAAGAGAGUCGAAACCUAAUAAUCAAAGAAAAUUAGAUAUUCUAAAAUUGAUAUUGGAUUUUUAAAGAUUCAGAUAUUAGGUUAACAUCACAUUUACUAUAACCUUUUAAAUAAAAAAUUAUCAUUGUUUAUGUUUUUCUAAAUUAUUUUAUGCUAUUAUAUUUUUAUUUAUAAUUUAUUUAAGAAUAGACACCGGUUUCUUAGAAUAAAAAACUUGUAAAAUUUUUUGUCAUCCCUAAAAACCAAAGAGUCCAUAGCUUGUCAUUUUAUGACACUAGCCUUGCUAUGUAUAUACAUAAUCUCCACGGUUUUAAAAACCAAUCUCUAAAAUAGGAGAUUUCAUUAAUUUUUUUACAUUAAUCCCUGAAGACAUGCAGUAGAUUUUGUAAUUUCUUGAAUUUUAAUAAAAACUUUGAUGUUAAUCCCUUAAGAUAGAAGAUUUCAUCACUUUUUAAGAUUUAAUGAAAAUUUUGAUGAUAUUCACUAAAAUAGAAGAUUUCAUCAAUUGUUUCUUUGGCUGCUUAUCCAAGAUAAAGUCUUCAUCCGUGAUUUCUUGUUUCAGCAUGAUUUCUUUUCUCUUCAGCAAGCUAGAUGUAUGUUUUGUAAAAGAAGAUUUGAAACUUCAAGCCAUCUCUUCAUUCAUUGUGUUUUUGCCUGGAAGUUAUGAAUGAAAUUCCUAUUUUGGUGGGGGAAUUAGUGAUUCUUUCCCAAAUUCUAUUGAUGAUAUAAUCUACAAAUGAUGCAAGGAAAAUUUCAGAAUCUUUCAUGAUGACAACUUCUCUUUUCUUGUAUUGCAUGGAGUCUAUGGCUACAUUGAAAUGAUGUAAUCUUCAAUGAUGCUAUUCCAGAUCUUAAGGGUUGUUUUUACUUUAUCGAUCCUCCACAGGUUCUCCUUAUGGUUGAAGUUUGAUAGCACAACUUUUGCUUACACCGGUUUGGAUUUAGGGAUCAACUCUGAUGGGAUCUUUUUCGGGGAUAACAGAAGUUGACUUCUUGUUUUUAUCUAUUGUCUGGUCCCUGUUUUCUUCUUCCUGUUAUAGAGUAGAUACCGUGAUUUAGGGAUCAACUAAGGUUCACUGUUGGUUUCUAUGCAAGGCAAGAUUGAAAGUUCUGUGAAUAUAUGAGUUGGAAGGUUAGAGUAAAUGCUGGAUGGUAUUUUUGAUUUUUCCCUCUCAAUGGCGCUGCUCACCAAUAGCUCGGGUGUAUUUGUGCUGAUGGAGAUGGAACCGAAGCGUAUAUAUUGGCUUUUUUUACUUGCUAAAGAUGGCUAACUCAGUAACAGAAGAGAUUUUCUAUUUCAGCAUGACUACCUUACCCUUAAGGAAUCAAGAUGUGCUUCAUGCAAUAAAAGCUUGGAAUCUUCAAUUCACUUCUUCAUUUAGUAUCACUUCACUUUGAAUAUAUGGAUGAAAUUGCUUUUUAAUCAGGGCUUUUGUAGUGCUUUUUCAAAAUAUAUUGACAAUAUGUGUUACCAAUGGUCUUCCAUGGUUAAAGACAAGCAACAAAAUCUCUUAUAACAGCUUAUUUUCUCAUGUAUUGUAUGGAAUAUGUGGCUCCACUGAAAUGAUGUCAUUUUUAAUGACGCUGCCCCUAACCUUCAAAUCUAUUUUUUCAUGAUGCGUCAAAGUAUUGCUUCAUGGCUGAGGCUUCAUUCUAGCUUUUUAAAGCUUAAUAUAGAGAAUGUUCAGUAGGGAGGAAAUGAUUUUUUAUGUUUUUUAUUUGUUCCUCCUAAUUGUUACGCUCCCUUGUUUCAUGCAGCAGCUUUUAUGCUUUUUUUUUUCUUUAUUUAUUCAUCUAAUGUAAAUUAUGCUAUUAUCUUAAUACCCAUUUUCUUAAUAAAAAUUUCGAUUAUUACCAAAAAAAAAGAUGGCUAACUGUAAUUAGAAUGAUGGUAAAUGUUUCUUCUUUUCACAGUAACAAAUCUCUGAGACCUUACAUCUCUAGUUAAUUAUAACUACCUUACCGGUCAAAAUGUUCUUUUUCUGUACCUGAUGAGUGAUAUUAUUUCUGAGAUUUUUGAACAUGUAAUGACGGAAGCCUGCGUUGGACUGGUUCUCUUUGUUACGUUACUGGAGUCGCAAUGUUUCGAGUUAUCGGACCAAAUUAAUUCUCUUUCUUUUUGCAGCAAAGCUGUAUCUCUUGCUACUUGCUAGAGGCGUAAUCCCAGGCUACCACUGUUUUGGUGUUGCCUCUCUCACCAUUGUUAUUAGGUUGAAUUAAAUACCAGAAGAUUUCUGGAUGUGUAAUGACUGUAUGAUUAAACUUACCAAUGCACUGUCAAGGCUGUGGCGCGUCAACUGCAUGUGCCGGCGGGCGUCACCAUUGUUCCACCAUGUGCCGUUGUAGCCACUAAGUGGCCAAGAUUUUUUAAAUGAGAAGGUAAAUUACUAAUAAAUAUUUGAUAUUAUGUAUUAUGUAUACAUGCAUUAUAUAGAAAAAUCAAUUUGAAAUAUAUGUACUAACUCAUAUUAAAUGAAAUUAAUUUAAGAGUACUUUUAAAAUGAUAAAAAAAUUACAUUAUAAUUGUUCUUUUCGGGUUUUUAUAUUUUGAAACUGUUUCAUAAUAACUUCAUUAUCAAUCUCAUUAAAGAUAUUUUUCUAAAUUUAUAUAAUUAAAUUGUCAUUUAUCCACUUAUCUCCUAUCUUAUAUUGCAAUCUACUCUUGAAAACAUUCAUGACAGAUAAAACUAUUUUCACUAUAGCAGUUACAACUAGUAAAAAUAAUGACAAUUUGAUAAGUAUAUAUACCAAUAAAAAUAUUAAAUUCUUCUUUGUUUUUACCAUUUAAUUUCUCCUCAAGACUAGCGGCAAUAAAAAGUUCUCUCUGACUAGAAAGUUUCAAAUGGUAGAAGGUAAACUCUUUAAUAUUACAGAGGAGCUAAUGAAUCAAAGAAUCGAACAUAGAAAGUUUUGAUGGUAUAAACACAAACCACGGAAGCAGCAAUAAAAAGUGCUCUCUGGCUCUAUGGUUUCCUUCUUUAUAUGCGUUGAUUAGUUUUUUUUUUUGCCAUAGAAUAAAAUCAUCAGAUGUCCCUUUACUUCUUUAUCUGUUAAACAUGAAUAAAAGAAAAAUUUGAGACAACCAGCUUAUAAUUCAAACACCAAAAGUGUUUUUUAAUAGAUUCAAAGAUUAAAAAAAAUUACUUUGAACUUUGCAAGGAGAGAAUGUAGAUAGUCACAGUAGAACACAUUAAUAUAUUGUCUCUUGAUUUUUUAUCUUUUACAAAAUAUAACUUAAGUUAUUAUAUUAAUAUUUUAACGUAAAAAUUAAUUUUUUUUUUAAAAGAAGGGGGCAGCUGGCCCCUUAUGCCCCAGUGGCUCCGCCCCUGGCAGCCACCACCAAUUCCAGCAGCUCCAGCUUUUUUCUCCAUUUCCUCAUGUCCAAAUUUCAAGCUCAGCAUGACAUUUUGAGUUUAUUUUUCAUGAAUUAUGUUUGUAUUUUGACAAAUCCAACAAUUAUGAUUUGAUUUAGUUGUUUCUGGUUAUGGGACACAAUGUGGUUUUUUUUAUUAAAAACAAAAAACAGAGAGAAUGCAAGAAAGAAAGUCACAGCUACAUUUGAUAGAAUAAAUGUAAGUAGGAAAUAAAAUCCAACUCAAGAAUAGUUACAAAUGAGUUCAAUCCAUUUACAGAAAAAGGGUAUAUAAAAUAUAUUGGUCUGAAGAAUCCUCUGUCUGGAAGUUCUUUGAAUGGGGCUGUGAUGGCAUUUAGAAAGCAGAGGAACUAGGGGGCUUGUAGCAGAAAUCAUAUUUAUUGUUGAAGAUUUUUUUGUGUUCGGUUUAGAUAACUUUAUUUGGAUUUAAUCCACAAUGGGUAUCAUCUCUUAUAGAUGAAUGGUUAAGCUUCCAAGUCUACCAUUCUCUCAUGUAUUUGGAUUUAAUCCACUGAAACUGAGGUUUAAGAAUUUCUUGUUGUGAAUUGCAGAAAACAGUUGAUUGAUCUUCACUAGGAUGGCAAUUGGAAAUGAAUGGAGGAAGCAUCAAGAUCAGUGGCUUGUUUGAAGGCAGAUAGACCCUUUGAUCGUGAGAUGAUGCCUUUAGAUGAGAAAGGAUGUGAGAAAGGUAUAUCACAGCUGCAUUUGAUAGAAUAAAUGGUAAGUAGUUUGUUUUUUAAUUAAGUAUUUCAAUAUGGCAAAGAUAGGGUGUAAUUUACCAUACUUUAGUCUUAUUCCAUUCAAUAUAAUUAUGGAUACUAUAGAGCAUAUACGUACUUUGAUCUUAAUUAGUCCUUGGCUUAAAACGAAUUUGGUGCAGAUACAGAUUCUAAAGACGUCCAACUCCAACAAGCCCUAAAAGGACAUCAUUGGAUAAAUACCAAGGAGCUUGUGCAUGAGCAUUGUUUUGUUCACUCUGUGGCAGAGGCCUCUCCACAACUUCUCAGCAGGAAAGCUAUUAUUUAAGUUGCAACGCAGUGCGGUUCUAUAAACUAACUAGUUUAUAGCAAUUGCAAAUGAAUGGACCCUUUGAUCGUUAGAUUAUGCCUUUAGAUGAGGCUCGACAUUAUAGAGGCAUAAAAGAGAGAGAGAUACAUCACAGCUGCUUUUGAUAGAGUAAACAGGUCACAUAUUAUUUACACUCAACCUUAGCAAACACCAAAGCAAAUAAUUAAUACACUCAAAGCGAAAAAAUAAUGUGAGAAAUCUUUUACCAAACUGCACCCAUCUUCUCAUCCCCGUAACGAUUCGUUAGAAUGGGGCUCCUUCUUAUGAUUAAUUCCUGUAGAGGCGCUGCCAAAACAUAGUCUGGUAGUGCUCUCAACAACGGGCAAGUAUCAAUAAUCAACUCUUGAAGUUGUGUUGGCAUCUUCUUCUCCCACUCUCCUUUCAAUUCCAUCCCACUCUUCUACUUCUGUGAGAUCCAUAAUCCAAAGUUUUUUCAAUUUGGGGAAAGCAGUGACCCUUGCAAUUUCUCCUUCACUAAUACUGGCAUUCUCAUCUUUUUCUAUACCUAAAAAUCCAGCAUCCAGCCUUCUCACCUUCAUCGACCUCAAUACCAGGCUUUCAUGGUUGGGCAAUCUUCCCAACGGAGGCAAGACCUCCACGUUUGUACAAAGACCGAGUGUAAGCACCUGUAAUCUGGUUAAUGUCAUCAUCCAAUUUGGCAAAUCCAACCCUCCGUACCUAGUUAUGGUUAGAUUUUCCAAGGAUGACGGAGGCUGUAAAACUUCAAUUAAAAUGUUGUUCUCCCGGUUGAAGUUGAAAUCCAAUUGCAAACAAAGUAGGCGAUUCUUAUUCUUGAGUUGUACUUCUUUCAUUGUCUUUUUCUACUCUUUCAUAAUUUAAGGCACUUCUUUCUUCUUUUAGCUAGAAACAUAAUGCAGAUGCAGAGAGUGAAGAGUCGACAUGCAGAUGCAGGAACAUAGGAAGAGAGUUGUUUGGUUACUAAAAUAAGGGCUAGGGUUAUGAAAUCUGGAAAUUGAAAUUCGGAUCGAAAUUAGUGAGGAAAUCAGCAUGCUAGAUUCAGCAGCGUUUGGGGUCAGAAUGGCAUUGUUGGGAAUAAGACAACAAAUUAUGCGUAGCUUAGCAGCCAUUGUUGCUGCUUCAGGAACACCAAACUCCCUUGUCAAAAAACUGCAUUCAUAUGCAUUUUGCAAUUAAGGCAUUAUGCUUUAAACUCAUUCUAUUUGCCUUCCCUCACACAAAAAAGAAAAAAAAAAGGUUAUUUGCUGUCGUCACUGGAUUAGUUUCAAACCCAAAAGUCUCGUUGCGUUCUGUUUCAAUUCAGUCAGUCUUUAUUAGUCAAUGCUUCGCUGCACUGAAAAAACACCAUAUGCACCUCAUUGCAGAGUGAGGUCAUAUGUCCUACAAAAAUGGAUUUUGAACAUAAUAAUUAGAAGGAAAAAAAAAUUAAAAGUGAGCAUAAUUGAUCAUCGUGGAUAUAAUAAUAAUAUUUAAUAAAAUGAAUUAGCUUGUUAACUCCUAGAAGUUUUUAUAAAAACUAAUCUUGAAGUACAAGUAAUCCCUUCGCUCAUCAACUUCGCUGUGAAAAAGCCCAGAGUACUCAGCUUGGGCUUGUGUUCCCUCAUUAUGACUUGGUGAAUUGGGCAAUCUAAAUACUUUUGGGCUCUGUGUUUUAAUGGGUUCCAAGGGGAAGAAAACACAACGAUUCUUGAACAAGGAUUUGUGUCCCGUGCGCACUUGAACGAUGGGGGUCUGUUUGCAUUUUGUCAAAAGAGAUGAAAUUCUAAUCAAUGAUGAUGAUGAAAAAAAUAAAUAUAUAAAUUACUAUGUGCAUUCUAUAAUUUAGUUAUAUAAUAUAGUAGAUCUUUACAAAUUAGUAAUUUCAACUUACCAGUAGAAAAAUUAUAGUAGAUCUUUACCAUGAUAUUAUCGAAAUAAAUAAAUAAAUAAAAAUAGAUACACUUCAACACGUCCAUACACUCCUUUUUUAAAAAAUAAUUAUAAUAAAAUUAAUUAGUUAUUAAUUAUAAAAAUCAGACCUAUGAGUUAUGUCUAAGCUGUUGAAAAUAGUAAAGAUAAAGUAAUUAGAAGUGACAAUGAAAUUAUUAGUUGAUCAUCGAGUUGUUUUACUAGAAUCCAAAUCACUUAGCUCAAAUUACUAAUAACAAUUAUAAAUUUACACCAAAUUUGAACAAAUUUCUACCAGCCGAUGUGACUAAACUCAAAUCACUCCUAGGAAUCUUAAUAUAAACCCAUUUACUACUAGACCAGCACCUCUUUGGCUAAAAUCCACGUUGCUUUCCCACACCAAUCAUCAGCUUCUUCAAUUACAGUGCUACAAGUCCAUGUCUCUAUACCUAUUGUAACAUAUUCUACAAACAUACUGUUUUACUGUAGACUGCAAUGUUUUAAGUGUUUUUUUUUUAUUAAGUUGUUUUAUUUUUUUUAACGGUUUUUUUUAUGUCUUUCAGAAUAUUUUUUUUGCUUCGUUCUUUGUUUUUUUUUCUUUUAACAAAAGUUUUUUGUUUAAUUUAGUUUAUUAAUGUUUAAUUUUUUUAUUUAUUUAUCAGACUUUCAUGAUACAUUUUCCAGAUUUAACGGGUUAACCUGGUUUGACAAGUUAACCCAUAAUUUUUUUUUUUGCUUUUUUUAAAUUAAUUUUUUUGCUUUAGUUUAUUUUAUUAAUGUUAAAUUUCUUUCUAUUUAGUUAUCAGACUUUCAUGACAUAUAUCUAGAGUUUCACGGGUUAACACGGUUUGACGGGUUAACAUGGAUUUUUUAUUAUUUUUUUCUUUUUAAUUAAUUUUUUUCGUUUAGUUCAGUUUGUUAAUGUUCACUUUUUUUUUUAUUUCGUUACCAUACAUUCAUGACACAGAUCCCGGGUUUAACGGGUUAACCUGGUUUGACAAGUUAACCUGAAAUUUUUUUUUUUUGCUUUUUUUUUUUUAAAUUUAGUUUAGUUUGUUAAUGUUAAAUUUCUUUCUAUUUAGUUUUUUUUUCUUCAUAGAGGUUUUUUUCUUUUAUUUUUUCUUUUUAAUUAAUUUAGUUUAUUAAUAUUAAAUAUUUUUCUAAUUAGUUCUCGGCUAAUGCCUUUAGUUUUUCUUUUUGUUUCUUUUUGUUGUUUUUUUGCCUUUGACUGUGGACUGCACAAUGCAGUCCACAAUAAAAAGGUUGAUGCCUUUUGUUUUUUUUUUCUUUUUAAUUAAUUUUUUUUGUUUAAUUUAAAUUAUUAAUGUUAAAUUUUUUUUCUAUUUAGUUAUCAAACUUUCAUGAUACGAAUUCUGAGUUUGACAUGUUAACCUGAUUUGACGAGUUAGCCCAGUCAACUCAAUGAAUCACACAGAUAAAUUACACGGAAUCAGUAAAAUCAAAAUAAAACGUGUUAAUCUACUUUCUUAUGUUAUGAAAGGAGAUGAAUCCAACAAAAACAUAAUAAGCCACAGUUAAUUUUUUUAUCUUUGAGAUAAAAAAAUAUUUUUGAAAAAAUUAAAUUUUUUAUUAAUUUAUAAUUUAUUUAUAUUUUAAAAUAAUUUUAAUGUAUUAAUAUUAAAAAUUAAUUUUUAAAAACAAAAUUUUAAUUAUUUUUAAAUAAAAAUAUUUUAAAAAAUAAUUAUUAUUUUAAUACCAAAAACGCUUUUGCCUGCUUGGGAGUUAUGGUUGCGGUUGCUUUUCAAAAUGUUUUUUAUUUAAAAAUGUAUUAAAAUGAUGUUUUUUUUAUUUUUUUAAAAUUAAUUUUUAUAUCAGUGCAUCAAAAUAAUCUGAAAAAACUAAAAAAAUAUUAAUUUAAAUAAAAGAAAAAAAUUAAAAUUAAAUAAAUAUUUUUCAAAACGUUUUUAAAACAUAAAAACAAAUAGAAAUAAAUGCUAAAAUAGGAAAACAAACCAACUCUUUAUUAAAUGACAUUAUUUUUGAGAUUUUAUAUAUAUAUAUAUAUAUAUAUAAAAACUUUGGUGGACACACCAAUCAAUCCAUUCGAUUGGCCACCCAAUCUUGGGCAAGAUCGACCGUGGGUUGUAUCUUAUUACUAUGGUGAUAAGUAAUCACUCGAAAGUUCAAAACUAGCUUGACCCAUAAGAAUAUAUAUCGGAAUAAGUUAAGACUAUGAUGCCAACUUUAUUUUUUUAAAAAAAUAAAAGGCAUAAAUCAUUAAUAAAAAUCUAAAAGGUAUGAAAUUUUUAUUAUGUGUGUACCAUUGUUCACCCUUCCAUAUUUUAUUAUAGAUAAUCUAUUGUUUAAAAUUUUGUCUUUUUAAUCUGGGCCUUGAUUUUUUUUACACGAUUGCAUUCUUUUUUAACCAAAUUAAAAAGCAACUUUAUCAAAUUCGCCGACUACUGAUAAAAUUAAAAAAGAGAGGACUAAAAUAGAAAAGGUGCAAUAAAUGGAUGAUGAUUUCAAAGUUCACACAAAAAAUCAAUUUAGUCCUCACACUUUAAAAAUUAUACAUAUUCGAUUUUUCAAUAUUUUUUUAAAUUCAAUUUUAGUAUAAAAUUUCACUUUUGUUAUAUUAUAGUUCAUGGUUUGAGAGAUAAGAGAGCAAGGUCACCGGAUUCCAAAUCUAGACAAAAAAUAUUGUUGGCGUCGAUUUUGACCAUAAAAAUGAUCGAUUUAUAUGUCAAAUGAUUUCAUUUGAUGAUGGGAUUUCAGCUUAAGUGUUUUUUACUUUAAAAAUAUAUAUGGGCUCAAGAGAUUGUUCAUUUUUGGUUGAUUUUGAGUUUUGAGAUAGUUUUUUUUAUGUCAUAGACAUGUUUAUCAAAGUUCAUAUGUUUUUUUCUAGGUAUUUUGGGUAAAAAAAAAUUAAAAAUGAGUUUUUGAAUGAAAAAACCUCAAAUCUUGAUUUUUCUGCCACCACAAUAAUCAAAAUAUGAGGAAAAUCAUACGAUGCAUCAUCUAAUUUAAUUUUCUUUCAAAAAGAAAGGAGGGGGGGGGGGACUUUGCAAUGAAAGAGAAUUAUGGGUCUAAGCAUGUGGGCCUACCUUGACAGACUUGUACACGGGCCCUAACAAGAUUAGUCGAAUGGGGUGGCUCGGCUUGUCAAGCCUAGUAACACUUGAGCUUUUUUUUUUUUUUUUUAAAUUAAUACUUUUUUAUAUUCUUUUUUUCAAGUUUAAUAUUUUAUUUAUAAUUAAAUUAAUAUAUUUUCUCUCUUUUAUUUUGUUGAUAUAGCCUCUUUAAAAUUACAAUUAUUUUUUAAUUAUUUUGUAUGCAUUUAUUUUUAAAAUAUAUUAUUAUAAUUCAUCUAUAAAUGUUUUUUGUGUUUUAUAUGAAUAAAAAAUAUUUAUUUAUUUAUUUAUAAUAUUUCUAACAUGUGUAAUCUUACAUGAUAUUGUUUUUAAUUCAAUCAAUUUUACAUGUAUUUAUUUUUAUUAUUGUUUAAUUGAAUGAAAAUUUGAUUUUGAUAAACAAUGAUAUUUAAUACAAUCAGAUGAAAUGCUUGUAUUGUAAUGUUAAAGAUCUUGAUUUAUAUAUGUUUAUCGAUAUUUCAAUUUUAUCUUUAUUUAUUGUUAAUAAUAUUUUAUUUUUUAUUUUUUUAAUACACAUUAUUCUCAAUAUAUUUGAUUAUAUUUAUGCAUCAGUUUUUUUUUAUGCUUAUAAUUUUUUUUAUGUACAAAUACAUGUUGGAAAAAUCUUCAUAUAUCAUUUUUUUAUAUAUAAAAAAUAUGUUUGAUGCACUAACACGUGAGAGCUUUCACUUUUAAUUUGCAUAAUAAAAGAUUUGUUUUUGUCCUUUUUUUUUUUAUUGAUCCUUUUAAUAUUGCACUGAUCUUAUAUUGAUUUUUACGAUUUGAUUUUAUGCCAAUGAUGGGACCUUUUAGUGCUGGGGAAAUAUUACGUGCUUGGUUGAUUCUCAAUUUUUAAUAAAAUCAAAAUCAAUUGCAUUCGUAUAAAAGAACUAGAAAUUCAGGUAUUGGAAUUGAAAGACUAAAUAAAUGUGCUAUUCCUUUUGUUUGCUAACAUUGAGAAUUGAUUUGCAUAUUCAAUGAAAAAAAAAUCAAAUUCAAUUUUAGCAGUGGAUUGAUUGCCAUGAUCUAGCUAGCAGAAUUUGCUAGUGUUUUUUUAAUUAAUUUUUUAAUUUAAUCAUUUUAUAUUUAAAUUGUUGAAAUUUGACAUAAUAAUUUUUUUGUAAUUGCUUUGUGGGGUUAUUUUAACAUUAUAACUUGAGUUAUGGUUUUAACAUACUAAUUAAAGUUGAUUCGAAUUAAUUUUUAUAUAUUGAAUUAUAUAAGAAUUGAAUUUGUAAUUAUUCUUUUGCGAGAACUUUUUUAAGCAGGUCACGCUAACCUUUUUUUUAUCUUAGCCUGCAACGGCAUAACACGAACAAUCUAUCUAGUGUUAUUACUGAAAGAUCACAUGGCCAACCCAAAAAGUUCACGAAGAACACACAAUCAAAAACGCAAAAAAACAAAAGGGUUUCUUGAAUUUCAACCAAAGAAUAUAACAAAACCGAUAAAACAAAAUAAUAAAUGUUUACUUACAGAAGAUUCAUCGACUAAAAUAGAUGGCAAUUUCUUCUCAGUUGCAAUAACAACAACGUUUGCCGCUACAACACCAAAAAAAUAAUAAAAUCAACAACAUAGUACAUUCGAAAAUGACAAGAAAAUGAGAUGGUAGAAGAAACCAAAGCGAAGAGGUCACAUAGAGUAAAUGGUAAGAAUUAACACCAAAGCAAAUAAUUAAUACACUCAGAACCAAAUCUUUUACCGUUAAGAAUUAAUACUGGUAGAAGAAUUUACCUCUAUAUCAUCAAAAUUAAUAUUUGGGAUGUGAGAAAUCUUUUGCCAAUCUUCACCCAUCUCCUCCUUCCCGUAACGUUUCCUUAGAAUGGAGCAACCAUUUAUGUAUAAUUCCUGUAGAGGCGCUGCCAAAACAUAGUCUGGUAGUGCUCUCAACAACGGGCAAUCAACAAUCAUCAACUCUCGAAGUUGUGGCAUAAUGGAUAUUAUUGAAGUUGUGUUGGCAUCCCACUCUUCUACUUCUUGGAGAUGCCAAAAACCAAGAUGUUUUAAUUUGGGGAAAGCAGUGACCCUUGCAAUUUCUCCUUCAUUAAUACUGCCAUUCUCAUCUUUUUCUAUACCUAAAAAUCCAGCAUCCAGCCUUCUCACCUUCAACGAGCUCAAUACCAGGCUUUCAAGGUUGGGCAAUCUUCCCAGCGGAGGCAAAACCUCCAGGUUUUCACAAUCAAAGAGUUCAAGCCCCUGUAAUCUGGUUAAUGUCAUCAUCCAAUUUGGCAAUUCCAACCCUCCGUAACUAGAUAUGGUUAGAUAUUCCAAGUAUGACGGAGGCUGUAAAGCUUCAAUUAAAGAGCCUUCAUUCGCUUGCAACUCUGUUUUCUCUCUGUCGAAAUACAAUCGCAAACGAAGCAGGCGCUUCUUAUUCUUGAGUUGUGCUUCUGCAGCGUCACUCGCAUCUUCUUUACCUCCUCCUAGAUUCCGUAUAGUAAGACUCCCUCCAAUGUGAUUUAAGUCUUUUAAUUCUCUUAGAUUAGCUGCUUUACUUUCAUUCUCACCACCACCACACACAAUAAACAAAUCUAAUGUUUGAAGACAUGUUAUCCUCUCUAUUCCCUUUGGUAUGAAGACCACUCCUGAACCAAAAAUCCGGAGAUGCCUCAAUUUGAUAAGUUUUCCAAUCGUCUUGGGCAAUUCCUUGAGAGACCGACAGAAAGUAACAUCUAGGGAUUGCAGAUUGCAUAAAUCACAACUGGUUUCUGGCAGGGACUCCAACUCUCCACAUUGUGCCAAAUUGAGGUGUCUCAAAUGUAUCAAUUUCCCUACCUCGUUUGGUAUUUCUUUGAUUGAAGACCCUGACAAAUUCAAUGACCUGAUGCAUGUCAACUGCUUGAACAAAUCAGGCAGUGCAGCUCCAAGCGAAGGGUCUCUAGUGUCGAUCAAGAGGCUGCGAAGACCUUUUGCUUUGUGAAUGGACUUGGGAAAAGAGGUCUCCUCUGACAGCAUCAUGCUUAAAUGACGAACCCUUUCAAUUGAAGUCUCCAUUGUUGCUUCUCCAAGUGUAUUGACAUCCACUGUUAGACAUUCAUUUUUUGUCAUAUAUUGGGCAAAAUCAUGCACUAUAUCAUGCAUCUUGAAUCUAAUAUCUUCUCGAUCAUACGUCUCAAAAUCUUGGAAGAAAGAGCGCGCUGCCAAGACUUGAAAGUACUGCUCUCCUACAAGCUCCAUAUCUCCACCUGAAGUCUCCUUGAGGUAACCUUGAGCCAUCCACAUCUUCACCAAUUCAUAUUUUCCCAUCUCGUAGUCUUUUGGAAACAUGGCACAAUACAAGAAACAUCGUCUUACCACAGAAGGUAAAUCGUAGUAACUCAAAAGCAAAGGUAUAAAUAUUCGUCUUUCAACCUGAUCUCUAUCAACCUCAUCUAGCCUCCACAGUUCGCUAGAUAAAACACGAUCCCACUCUUCUCUUGUUCUUUUAGACUGCAUUAGACCUCCUAAUACCUUGGCAGCUAGAGGCAAGCCCUUGCACUUGUUUGCAAUUUUAUCGCCGAUAUCUGUCAAUCUUUCGCGCUCAUCUUCGCUUCUUUCCUGGAAUGCCACAUGAUUGAAUAUUGACCUGCAUAUCUCAUCGGACAAUUUCUCAAUGUUGAUCCGGUGGUCAGUUCCCAUCAUCGUUGCCACAGCGUCCUUACGAGUGGUCACUAGAAUUCUGCUUCCUCGUGCACAGCCUGUGAGAGAUGGUUUCAGUUGUUCCCAUUGUCCAUGAUUUUCUGUCCAGACAUCAUCAAGGACAAGAAGGAACCUCUUUCCCUUAAUGGAUUCAGAAACCCUUCGCAAAAGGGAUUGCAAUCCUACCAAAUCAGAUGCCCUCCCUUCAAGCUCCUCCAGGAUAGCUUUGGCUAUUCUAACCUCAUCAAAUGGUUCUGAAACACACACCCAUAUCUUUUUCUCAAAAUGAGCCGUAACCUCUGAAUCAUUAUAAGCUAGUUGGGCGAGAGUUGUUUUUCCAAUUCCUCCCAGCCCUACUAGAGAGAUGACAUCCACGUCCCGUGCUUCUUGACUACUUUCAGCCAGCAACUUGCUUACAACAUUUCUCUUUUCACCAUCUCGACCAAUCACGCUUGAUUCAUCAACAAAGGAGGUAGUUGUUAGUCGCUGGAGUUCAUCAGUGGCUUUGUACAGAUCAAAGCCAUACUUAGCUCUCUGUUUGGCAAUGUCAUCCACCUUUUCACAAACUUCUUUGAUCUUCAGGGCAAUGUCGCGACGUCGAACCACUUGAUUGAAACAAAAGCAAGGAGAUCCCAGGAAGGAACAUCGUAUCUUCUGUCGGCUGUGAGUAUUUUCUUCAGCUUCCUCCAUUUUCCAUCUAAGAAUUGCAGUGCUCCAUUCAUCUAGCACGUCAUCCAUAUCAUAACAUGCAUCUUUGAGCUUGUCUACCCAAUCUCUUACAGCCUUAUCCUUCACUUGUUUUCUAUCUGCAUCUUCAAGGACAGAUUGGAUAUCAAGGAGAUUGCUUUUCAGCUUGUCACAUUGUUUCUUCACACCCACUACUAGGUUCACCUUUUCUUGUACCUAUUAGUGUACAAAGGAAAAGAAACGUUAAGCAUAGGAAACAUUUCUAUGACAAUUUCACACCCCCUACUAGGUUCACCUCUUCCUGUACCUAGCUAUUAGUGUAGAAAAGACAAGUUCAAGCAUAGGAAACAUUUCUAUUUUGUAUUAAUAUAUUUUAUUGUGAAAUGGAUUUACUAUAUUAAUAAUUUAUAUAUAAAAUAUUUAUUAUAAAUGAUAAUAUUUCUUUUUUCUUUUUAUCAUCAUGAUGAUGAUAUCAGUCUGCACUAUGCUACUGUACAAGAAGGUAUAAAAUGAAUCUUAAAUGGUAAAAUGUAAACCUGUACGUAUGUAUAUAUAUAUAUAUAUAAAGAGUUCAAUGUUCUCACGUGAGAAGGAUUUCUCCUUUGAACCGACAUAAAAUCUGGUUUUCAUUUUACAUUAAACUAUAGAUAUAUGGAUGUAUAAAGGCAAGUGAAUAAAAGGAUCUGCAUUUAUAUAUUUGUGAAGUCAAUUUAGAAAUAAAGGCAUGAUAAUAAGAUUGUGUGAUAACUAUAUAGUUUUAAUUCACACCAAAUACUCACUCGCUAAUCCUUCGAACUUUUUAUUGAUUAUUUUACCUUUAAUAGUUCAGUUUAAAGAGAAUUGGCAACUCUUGUUCAUCUUUUUUGGUUUUCUUAUAUUUGGAAUGAUAUAUUUUCUUUAGGUUAUUUUUAGAAAUAUGAAAACUAAUAAAACUAGAAAAAUAAGUCUUUAAUAAAAUCGAAAUAUAUACUUGAGGAUUUAAAAUAUUAUUUUUAUUUUUUCAAGUUAAAAGUAUUCUUUUUAUGAGAGGAAGAAAAAAGGCUUGAACGUUAUAUAUAUUUCUUAUCUGUGCUUAGGUAAAUCAGGUUAUUGCAGAUGGCAGAAAAAUACCUGUUGAGCAACGAUCGUGGUUAACUGCUCCAAGAUCGGAGAUAGAAGUGCCUCAGCCAUCGUCUGUUUAGUUCUGAUUGGAGAGAGAGAGAGAGAGAGAGAGAGAGAAGCAGUGAUGAUAGGAAGACAGAGAGAAAGAGAGGGUGAAGGGAAGGAGGCGGCUGAUUGUGAAUGGAUUAAUAUACUUGGGGUUUCUCGUUGCAGGUGGAGUUCUUGCAACUUGUAGUUUUUUUUACUAGUGAAGCUUUGUAUUUAGUGUCUCCACAGAAAAAUAUUUUUUAUUUAGUGGCUGAAAGAUUCACAAUUUAUAUUAUAAUUGAUGAUUUUUAUUCUAUGAAAGAACAACAAAUAUAAUUAAAAUAAUAUAUAAAAAUUAUUUUUUAUUAUUUUUUAUUUUAUUUCAAAGUUUAUUAAACAUAAAAUAAUGUUUCGCUUUAAUUAAUGUUUCUUAUAUACUUUGUAUGUUUAUAUUUGAUAGGUAUAGAGAUCAACAACAUUAAAAUGAUGAAUACAUCAUGAAGUUAAAAUUAGCUUCAUUGUUUUGACUUAAUUUGAUAUUGCUCCAAACCUUUUAUAUUAUAUAUUUAUAAUAAGUUAUUUGAAUAAAACUAAAUCAUACUGGUUUUUUUUACAACUCAUAUAUAAUAAAUUAAAAUAAAUAUUAUAUUUUGUUUUAUUAUUUUUGGCCAUUCCAAAAAUAUCAAGGGAAAGUCUUCAAAUGCACAGAGUAAAUCGGAACCCACAGUGAAGUAGCUCUUCAGUAUCUUCUAAGCUCAAGCUGUCAAACACAGACCAAAAGCAAACGUGUCAUAACCAAAACAACCCAAUGAAUGGUAGAUGUUAAAAUGAGCAUUCCAUUUUCUGAAUGACAAAAAUCCCAGUGCCUAGCAAUGACUUACAUAAUUAAUUAAAAUGGAUUUGUUAAAAUAUAGUAAAAUAUUAGACCGUUUAAGAAUUAACACUGUUGGGUUUCGAUAACUUUAUUUGGAUUUAAUCCAUUAAAUCAAUGGGUAUCAUCUUUUAUAGAUGAAUGGUUUAGCUUCCAAGUCUACCAUUCUCUCAUUUAUUUGGACUUAAUCCACUGAAACUGAGGUUUUAUUUGUAAGUAUACACAUCAGGCUCAAGCUUAUCUUCUUGCAUCUGCUCAAAUAUUUCUUCUGCCUUCUCACAGAGUCCCUCUCUAGCAAACGCGUUCACCAGAGCUGUGUAUGUGCAGAUAUCUGGUCUGCAUUUUUGACUUCUCAUUUCGUUAAACAACUUCAAGGCCAUGUAAGAUUGACUUGCCUGAGUACAGGAAAAAGAUUAGCAAAAUGAGUUUUUAAGGAUCCUAAACACCACUGUUGUCCAGUUAUCAGAAUUUAUAACCAUAUCCUUGAAUUUAUUCUGAUAAUUGUUUGAAAUUGAAUGCAUAUAUUUCAAGUUGUUCGUUGUAUCACUGUAGACUCGUAGACGUACGAGUUACGCGUAAUUUUCUACUGGGACCAGUGGCAUUUCAAGAAGAUCAGAUUUGCAGAAUAAUUCAGAACCAAAUACCACUGAGCUUACCUUCCCAUGAAGGUUGAUCAACAGUGUAUAGGUGUCAGUAGAGGGCUGGCAGCCAUCAUUUUUCAUUCGCUGAAAGAUCUCAAUUGCUCUUUGAGGGUUUCCAGCCUUCGUUAACCCAUCAAUAUAAGCAUUGUAUACAAUUGCACCUGGCCAAAAUUAGAGUAUACGCUCACUUUUCACUCUUGAAUGUGCAUGCAAGUGUAUCAACAGAACAGCUUGAAAAACGAAAAUCUGAGAAGUGUAAAUAAGAGAACGAAACACAAAAGCAGAACUAAUGCCCUGUAUUUCACCACCACAAAAAGAAGAGAAAUAACCCACGCAAUCUCAUAAAGGAAAGCUACAGAAGCAAGUUUGUCAUCCAGGAGCCUCUAGCCUAAUCCAGUUCCGGUCUAGCUAAAUUAGCAAGGGGUCCCUCUUGGUUUAAUCAACCAUUCUCUAAGCAUGGUGAUGUAGAUAAGGAGUAGUAAUCACUACUAUUAUAGUAGCAACAAGAAAUAUGCAGACCAUGAACCAAUCUUCUCUUUUCCUACGUUUAGUAUACUUCACCCCCGAAAAGAAAAAAUAAAUACAGCUCUGUGCAAUUAUUGAGCGAGGUUUCAAAAUUUAAAACGAAUUUAACCCCACAAAAAAUCAAUUUUUGAGGAAAAGAAUCUUAAAAGUUGAAGAAAUUUUUGUUUUAUAAGAAAUGGUUGAUCCAAUAACUUCUUGAAAAUACAAUUUCCCUAAAAGCUAAGAAGAAAUGAAUUGGUAAACACAUACUUGGAGGAAGGCUAUACUUUCGCAUAUCAACAAAGGCAGCUUCAGCUUUUUCUAACAAUCCACAUGCACAGUAAGCCUUUAUAAGAAGGGCAUAAGUGUCUUCAGUAGGGAUACACCUGGCUUGAAGAAGAUCAACAUAUGUUUCUUCUGCCUUCUUGUACAAAGAUUUUUGCCCAUAAGCAUCUAUUAGUAAAUUGUAGCACAUGACAUCUGUCUGGAAGGAGCUCUUGUACAAUAUCCAUUGACAUAUCUGGAAAUUUUAGAGUUACACCCAACAAGAUUAUUAAGAAUUAAGAACAAACGAUAUCAAAAAUGUCUAUAUAAUAAAUAGAGACAGUAAAGAGAUUUGUUUCAUUUAGUUGUAGGAAAAUGCUGGUAUAUGAGAAUUCCAAACACCAACUGCAGCACCAACCACUUAAAGGAGAUUUGAACAAUCGAGGAUUCAGUCUUAAUGGUUGAAGAGAAAAAUACUGUGCAAAAUACUGUGCCACAAAAAUAUGUGCGUGCAAGGUGGUUUAAUCCAUCGCCUACCACCUUACACUAUGAAAGAAAUAAGGCACGAUUUACUCACCAAUGCAAUCGGAUCCCAUUGUUUAUUCAAACGAAGUUGGACGGCUACAUUAAUAAGAUCAUCCCAAGUCUCGUGAGUGACAGGAAGAGUAUCAAGAGCAGCCCAAACAUUAUUCGGAUCCACUUCUUUCCGCACAAAGUUCAGAAUCUGAUGAGCAACAGGACUUAGCACGGGAAAAUUCCAUCAACAAAUCCAGAUCCAUAUUUCCAUCCUUGUCCCCUCAAAGAGCCACCUAGGUAAAUUAGACGACUUAAUAAUUAAAGCCAUAUUUGCUUGAGAGUUAUAUGUAUGAGCACAAAGUGAAUUACUCCGUAUUACAUCGUUUCCUGGACAUCUUUUUGUGAUCAAAGAUUCGCCAUUUGCCAUGUUUGUCGAUAUAGACCCUGUCGCUUUUCCACUUUUUAACAUCUCCACUACUGGAAUUCUUUUCUCUGCGUCUGAAAUGACCAUUCCGGAUUCUUGAUUCUAUAAAAAUAUGAUUCAGAGUGCAUCUAACAAGCAACCUGCAAACACUAAUCAAGUAAACACACAAUUGCCAGCAACAAAAUACACACCUCUUAAUUUAAAGCCAUUACACGGAGGAAGCAACCAAAUAAAAUCCAUAUAAAGGAUGCUUUAGACUUCAAAAUAAUUGGACAAAGAGAGACACUAAAACUACUUUUAAUCACAAUAGCAAACACAUGAAAUGCAAACCAGAAAACCUAGUUAAAAAGAAGAAGAAAAGUAGUCAACUUUCCCUUUCUAAACCAAAUAUCUUCUCCCUUUCUUCCGCAAUAAUUCUUAACUGCUGUGAGUAUAGGUUGUAUUUUCAUUACAGAAUCAAAUAUUAGUCUAAUCUAUCUGAUUAAACUACAAAAAUCAAAAUUUGCAAGAUAAACAAGGCCACAACUGUUGAAGACUGGUUAGAGUUCAACAACGAUAAGCAUAGCACUCUGACAGCUAAAACUGGUCCAUCAUCUUAAAACUUAUGAAGUCACAGUAAGACUUUUUAGAUAAUGAUGAUUGCUCGUUCAAUACAUAUGAGAGCCAACAAAAUGCUAAAAUGUUUAAUUAACAAGAACAUAAAACAAAUUAGACAUCCUCUCUCAAGUGAACGUUGAUACUUAGCAAUUCCAUUGAAACCCAUUUCUCAGAACCAGAAAUUCCAUGAAAAAGCAAUAUUAUCCAGCAAGAGGAGAAAGAACCACCAGAAUUGAAGUUAAUAAAUACAGAAAAUAACAAGGCAGCAUGAACAGCAUUAGCAGUGGCAUUGCAUUACGAAAGAGAGGAAGGAAGGACACGACUUACAUGAAAGUAUAAAAGAGGAGUUUGGAGUUGGGUAUCUGUAAACAUCCAGCAAGCAAGAAGAUAUGUGAACUGAAGAGUGUUUUCUUGGAUAAUGGACUCCGUGGGUGAAGACCAGCACUGCCAGACAAAAGUAGCUUCUGUUUUUUUCUGUUUACUAAGGGACAAAAGCCUCAAAAUAUCUCUAACGAACUUAAGGAGUCAAACAAUAGCAUUAUUGUAGCCUCGUGGUGUCUGAGGUUGCAUGGGAUUCUAUAUUGAGACAGUAGCUGAUUAUACAAUGGUUGAUUUAAAAUAACCAACACUACCUUUUUAUACAAAGUGGGAUUGAUGAGGAUAUAAAUCUACACACUCCAACAUUCAAAGUCCCAAUCUUAGAGUCAUUGAUUAGUAUAGUAACGCCUCAUUGGCAAGAACCCAAAUCACUAAGCUCAAAUUACUAAUAAAAAUUACAAAUUUACACCGAAUUUGAACAGAUUUCUACCAACCGAUGUCACUAAAGAAAACACAAAAAAAAAAAAAAAACGCAAAAAAACAAAAGGGCUUCUUGAAUUUAAACCAAAGAAUAUAACAAAACCAAUAAAAAAAAUAAUAAAUGUUUACUUACAGAAGAUUCAUCGACUAAAAUAGAUGGCAAUUUCUUCUCAGUUGCAACAACAACACCGCUUGCCGCUACAACACUAAAAAAAUAAUAAAAUCAACAACAUAGUAUCUAAGCACCCAUCAACAACAUAGUGCAUUCGAAAAUGACAAGAAAAUGAGAAAAGAGAGAGAGGGAGCUUAAAUUGCACCAACCUUUGAUUCCGAGAGAAGUUUGGCCUGAUCCAACGGCAGUCAAUGCGUGCUCAAUCUGUACUAGCUUUCCGGUAGGACUGAAAGUAGUGAGAGAAAAGGAGUACUGGCUAUCACCCAUGGUUUAUUGCUUGAAGACGCAGAGAGGAAAAACUGUGAAUGCGAGUGUGUGGGAGGGAAAGACAGGGAUAUUUACUUGGGGUUUUAACUUUGCUUUUCUCGUUGGAGAAGAAGGUGUUUUCUUACGAGGGCUUUUACAAUGGAGUAUUAUGGGAUUUUAUGACGGCAGGUUGAUCCUCUGUACAUUGAGCUCAAUGAAGGCUCGGGACCAGUUUUGUUUUCAAGUAUUAUUAACAAAUAUUUAUUUAUUUAUUAAUAUACAUAAUUUUUAAUUUAUUUAAUAACAUUUAUAUAUAAUUUUUAAUUUAUUAUAUUUUUGAACUAGAAAAAUAUAUUUAAAGAACUGCAUAUAUAAAUUUUUAUAAAAAAUAAAAUAUUUGACUCACAAUAAAUUAUCCAUAUUUUUAUUAAAAAAAUAAAGUUGGGUAAACUCUUAAUUAGGCCUUGCUACUGAAUUUUGUUGUUGAUUUGUAAUUUAAUUAUUGUUGAAGAUUUUUUGUGUUAGGUUUGGAUAACUUUAUUUGGAUUUAAUCUCCAAAAUCGAAGAGUAUCAUCACUUAUAGAUGAAUGGUUUAGCUUCUCUCAUUUAUUUGGAUUUUAAUCCACUGAAACUGAGGUUUAAGAGUUUCUUGGAUUUAAUCCACUGAAACAGUUGCUUGAUCAAGAUCAUUGGCUUGUUUGAAGGCAGAUAAAGGCAUACAAAAAAAAAGCGAGAGAGAGCGAGAAAGAGAGGAUGUGAGAAAUAAUUAUAGAUAUGAGUUACAGUAGUUGAAACAAAUGAAUUACAGAUCAUUUUAUGGUGAGAGAGAAAGAGAGAGAGAGAGAGAGAAUGUGAGAAAUAAUUAUAUCAUCUUAGAUUACAGAUCAUUUUGAGAAAAUCUAAAAGAAAGUAUCAUCUUAGAUUAAUUAUAGAUAUGAGUUACAGUAGUUGAAAUUUCAAAGGCAAUUUUUUAGAGUAAAGAGGAAAUAAUAUGUUGAGAUGAUGCGAGAGCCCAAUUACAGUAAAGAGGUCAUAUAUUAUUUACACUCAACCUUAGCAAACACCAAAGCAAAACAAAUUAAAUUAAUACACUCAAAGCAGGUUCUAAAGAGUUGUGCCAAUCUUCACCCAUCUCCUCCUUCCCGUAACGUUUCCUUAGAUUGGGGCAACUCUUUAUGUGUAACUCCUGUAGAGGCGCUGCCAAAACAUAGUCCGGUAGUUCUCUCAACAACGGGCAAUUACUAAUCAUCAACUGUCGAAGAUGUGGCAUAAUGGAUAUUAUUGAAGUUGUGAUGGCAUCUUCUUCUCCCACUGAUCUCCUUUCAAUUCCAUCCCACUCUUCUACUUCUGUGAGACUCACAAUUUGUUGUCUCCGUGGACGUACCCGGUUUUUGGGAACCACGUAAAUCUGUUGUUUGUGUUUUAUUUGUGUUUGCUUUUGGUUCAGUAUGCAUAACAAAUUGGUAUCAGAGCGUUUGGGAAGCUAGAACACUGAAAAAAACACGUUUUUCAGCUCUCGGAUCGAAGUUGCAGAAUUUUCAAAGUUCUCAGAUCUUGAUUUUGACCACCUACAGAGAUUCCUCUCGUCGAUACGAGUCCGGCAAUAUAAAGAUCAUCGAAAUCGGAGUUAAAACGAUCCCUGUAGAGCUCGCCGAAGUUUCGCCGGAAAACUGCCGGAAAAACCAGACUGCCGGAAUUCUUGCCUGAGAAGACUGCCACGUCAUCCGCCACGUCACCAAACAGUGACAGAAUAUGCUCUUGACAGAAUGAGAAUAUUCCGUUAACAGAGACAGAAUAUUCCUUUGGCAGUGACAGAAUAUUCUCUUGACAGUGACAGAAUAUUCCCUUGGAUUUGACAGAAUAUUCUUUAUCAGAGACAGAAUAUUCCUUUCCUGAGUCAACUCGGUCAGAUUUGUUUUUUGGCCAACUCAGUGAUUUUAUAUCCCGUUUUUUGGCCAAGUUAAGCUUGUUCCUAGCAUUUUCAACCGUUCCGGACGCAACCGUGGUGUCCGUUUUGUGAAACAGCACACAGAAGUUACUGUUUUGGCUCUUUUGAGCAUAAAAUUGUGUGUUUUAACAAUUUCGGGAGUCCAUUUGUAAUCUAAAGGCGUCCUAAUGGCUGAUAUUCCAGAAGAAAAAUCAGCGGGGAAUGCUAGUAUACCUCCACAAUACAUCCCGGUAUCGAAUACCAAAUUUGAGGUGGAGAAGUUUGACGGGAAAGGUAAUUUUGGCAUGUGGAAAUGUGAAGUUAUGGAUAUGCUUGUCCAAAUGAAUUUGGAUUUCACUCUAGAAGAUAAACCAAGAGGAUUUGGAUGAGAAAAGCUGGGGGAGGAUAAAUCGGUUAGCUUGCAGUUCCAUCCGACUUUGUCUUGUAAAAGAUCAAAAGUACGCCUUUUCAGAACAAAACUCUGCAAAGGAAUUAUGGCAAGCACUGGAGGACAAGUUUAUGAAGAAGAGUAUAGAGAAUCGUCUCUACUUGAAGAAAAGAAUCUUCCGUUUUCAGCACAAGAAAGGUACUUCCAUGAAUGAGCAUCUGAAUGAUUUCAAUAAAAUGAUAGCUGAUUUGAAGAAUUUAGAUGUGGAAAUAGAUGAUGAAGAUAAAGCUCUGUUAUUAUUGAAUUCACUGCCUGACACAUAUGAACAUCUCGUCACCACUUUACUGUAUGGUAAAGAAAAGAUUAAAUUCAUUGAUGUGUCCAAUGCUUUGGUGAAUAAUGAGUACCGGAAGAAGGACCAGAUUGUUCACAAGGAGUCAACGUCAGAAGCAUUGACAGUUAGAGGCAGAACAAACCCUAGAAGAUUUCGAGGGCGAGGGAGAUCUCGCUCAAAAUCUAGAGGAGAAUCAUCAAACAGGCGAUAUCUUGCAAAAGAUGAGUGUGCCUUUUGUCACAAAAAGGGGCACUGGAAGAAAGAUUGUCCAAUCAAGGGCAAUAAGGAAAAAGAUGAACCAACUGUGAACGUUGCACGAGAAGAAGAUGAACGAGACUCUGCAUUCAUGGUCUCAUCACCAGAAAAACAUUGUGGUGAAUGGAUUCUUGAUUCUGCAUGUUCUUAUCACAUGUCCCCUAACAAGCACUUAUUCUCGAGACUUGAGGAGUUCGAUGGAGGAGUUGUGUUUAUGGGCAAUAAUAAUGUUUCUGAGGUCAAAGGGAUUGGGACUAUCCAUCUGAAGAUGCAUAAUGGGGUAGUCAAGACACUAACAGAGGUACGGUAUGUACCUGACUUGAAGAAAAAUCUCUUCUCACUUGGAGUCCUAGAAUCCAGUGGUUAUAAGAUUAUCAUGCAUGGUGGAGUCCUCAGAGCAAUCCGUGGUGCAUUAGUUGUCUUAAGAGGCACGAGGAUAGGAAACUUAUAUUUCCUAGAUGGAUCUACUGUUACUGGUAUAGCAGCUGUUUCCAAAAGCCUAGAAGAUGCUGAAGCAGAUAAUUCCAGACUUUGGCACAUGCGCUUAGGGCAUGCUGGUGAAAAGGCUUUGCAAGGACUAGUCAAGCAAGGUCUAUUAAAAGGCGCCAAGACUGGGAAGCAUGGGUUCUGUGAGCAUUGUGUUCUUGGAAAACAGACAAGGGUCAAGUUUGGCACUGCAAUACACAACACAAAAGGGAUUCUAGAUUAUGUUCACACAGAUGUAUGGGGACCUUCAAAGAAUGAAUCUCUUGGAGGUAAUCGUUGGUUUGUUACUUUUAUUGAUGAUUUCUCAAGACGAGUAUGGGUGUACAUGAUGAAACACAAGGAUGAGGUCCUUGAUAUCUUUCUGAAAUGGAAGAAAAUGGUGGAGACUCAAACGGGAAGGAGAGUUAAGACUCUUCGGUCAGAUAAUGGUGGUGAGUACACUUCAGAUCCUUUCUUUGAAGUUUGCCAGGAUGAAGGGAUCAAGCGACAUUUUACUGUGCGCAAAACACCACAACAAAAUGGAGUAGCAGAACGCAUGAACCGCACAUUGGUGGAGAAAGUCCGAUGUAUGCUAUCACAUUCGGGACUAAGCAAAGUGUUCUGGGGCGAGGCAUUAAGCUAUGCCGUCAUAUUGUUAAUCGGUUACCUUCAGCAGCAUUAAAUGGAAGAACCCCCUUGGAGGUAUGGUCAGGCUCUCCUGCAAAUGAUUAUGACUCUAUGCGUAUAUUUGGUUGCUCAGCAUAUUAUCAUGUUACUGAGUUAAACUAGAUCCUAGAGCCAAGAAAGCUAUAUUUUUGGGCUUUAGUGGAGGAGUAAAAGGUUACAGACUCUGGUGUUCUGAAUCAAAGAAAGUGAUUUUGAGUAGAGAUGUCACUUUUGAUGAGUCUGGCAUGUUACAGCAGGAGAAAUCACAGGAGAAGGAAAAACAGUCUGGUGAUGCACAACAGGUGGAGUUGGAGACUUCAGUCAUCCCUAUAAAGACUGUUCAGACAAUCCCUACUGAAGGAGAUUCAGAUGAAAGUUCAGAUGAAGAGGAUGCAACAACUCCAGCAACCACACAACAAGAAUCCAUUGCAACGAGUAAACCGAAAAGAGUUAUCAAGAAACCUGCUCGGUAUUGUGACAUGGUGGCUUAUGCACUUCCAGUGAUUGAUGAUGGAAUCCCCUACACCUACAAAGAAGCAGUACAGAGUGUAGAAAGUGCAAAAUGGAAAGAGGCAAUGGAUGAAGAGAUGAAAUCUCUCCACAAGAAUCAGACUUGGGAUUUGGUACAACUCCCUAAGGAAAAGAAGACAAUUGGUUGCAAGUGGGUAUAUGCCAAGAAGGAAGGUAAUCCUGGAAAAGACAACAUCCGAUUCAAAGCAAGAUUGGUAGCAAAAGGCUAUGCUCAGAAGGAGGGGAUAGAUUAUAAUGAGGUAUUCUCUCCAGUUGUUAAGCAUUCAUCAAUUCGUAUUUUGCUAGCCUUAGUUGCACAAUUUGAUUUGGAGUUAGCCCAACUUGAUGUGAAAACUGCCUUCCUACAUGGAGAUUUGGAAGAGGAAAUUUACAUGUCUCAGCCAGAUGGUUUCAAAGUCACUGGGAAAGAGAAUUGGGCUUGUAAACUGAAGAAGUCAUUGUAUGGCUUGAAACAAUCUCCUCGCCAGUGGUAUAAGCGAUUUGAUAAGUUCAUGACAGAACAUGGAUACACACGGAGUCAGUUUGACAACUGUGUAUAUUUUCGCAGACUUCUUGAUGGUUCUUUCAUCUAUUUGCUCUUAUAUGUGGAUGAUAUGUUGAUUGCAUCAAAGAGCAAGGUGGAGAUUGAUAGACUGAAAGCUCAACUGAGAACUGAGUUUGAAAUGAAGGACCUUGGAGAAGCUAAGAAGAUUCUUGGCAUGGAGAUUCAGAGAGACAGAAGAAAAGGCACAGUCUGUUUGACACAGACCCAAUACUUGAAGAAACUUCUACAGAGAUUUGGGGUAGAUGGUAAGACCAAGCCGGUAAGCACACCUUUAGCUCCUCAUUUUAAGCUAAGUGCUUCAAUGUCUCCACGCACAGAGGAAGAGCGCAAACAUAUGGCUCAAAUUCCGUAUGCAAAUGCAGUUGGUGCAUUAAUGUAUGCAAUGGUUUGUACGAGACCAGAUAUUUCACAUGCUGUCAGUAUGGUGAGCAGGUAUAUGCAUGAUCCGGGAAAGGGUCACUGGCAGGCAGUUAAGUGGAUUCUACGGUACAUUCAUGGCACAACUGAUAUUGGUUUGAAGUUUGAGAGGGAUGAUAGACUCGAGCAAAAUUUAGUUGGUUAUGUGGAUUCGGAUUAUGCUGGUGACUUAGACAAGCGUCGUUCCACAACAGGCUAUGUGUUUACACUUGCUAAAGGGCCUGUAAGUUGGAGGUCAACUUUACAAUCAACAGUAGCUUUGUCAACAACUGAGGCAGAGUACAUGGCAGUAACAGAAGCUUUCAAGGAAGCUAUUUGGUUACAUGGGUUGAUUGAAGAUUUGGGAAUUGUUCAAGAGCACGUGGAUGUCCAUUGUGAUAGUCAAAGUGCUAUUUGUCUUGCAAAGAAUCAGGUUCAUCAUUCCCGCACCAAGCACAUCGAUGUUCGAUUUCAUUUUGUUCGAGAAAUUGUGGAUGAAGGGGAUAUUCUGCUACAGAAAAUUGUACUAUAGAUAAUCCAGCUGACAUGCUCACAAAAUGUGUCUCAGGGAUCAAGUUCCAACAUUGUUUGGACUUGGUCAACAUCUCUCGGUGUUGAGCACCUUCAGGGUGCAAUGCCAUAUGGCGCAAUGGAGGCGGCAUUGAUUAAUCACGAGUAUUGGAUGGAAAAAUCUUGCAAAGGUGGAGAUUUGUAGCAAAUUGUCAACAUUUGAAAAUUGUCAACAUUUUUCUCAACAACCCUCUCCUUUACUCAACCACUAUCAACCACCCUCUCCUUCUUUUUGACCAUUAUCACUUCUCAUCAAGGUGCUGCCAAAGCUCUCCUAUAAAGACAGAGACGAGAGAGUGCAGGGUAGAAGAGAGGAAGUGUCAAGUGCAGAGGAAGUGUGGUGAGUGCAAGUGAGUGCAACUGUGAGAGUGAAAAAUACAGAUUUGAGAGAAACACAGAGUGUUAGAGUGAAACACUGGGUUUUGUGGGGAUUGUAUUGGGGUUGAGUUGAGUGUUUGUAUUAUUCCUCCAAUAAUAUACAAUCUGUUGUCUCCGUGGACGUACCCGGUUUUGGGAAACCACGUAAAUCUGUUGUUUGUGUUUUAUUUGUGUUUGCUUUCGGUCCAGUAUACACAACACACGUUUCUACACUAACGGAGUGUAAGCACCUGUAAUCUGGUUAAUGUCAUCAUCCAAUUUGGCCAUUCCAACCCUCCGUAACUCCAUAUGAUUAGAUUUUCCAAGUCUGACGGAGGCUGUAAAGCUUCAAUUAAAAUGCCGUUCUCCUGGUUGUAGUAGAAAUCCAAUUCCAAACGAAGCAGGCGCUUCUUAUUCUUGAGUUGUGCUUCUGCAGCGUCACUCGCAUCUUCUUUACCUCCUCCUAGAUUACUUAUAAUAAGACUCCCUCCAAUGUGAUUUAAGUUUUUUAAUUCUCUUAGAUUAGCUGCUUUACUUUCAUUCUCACCACCAGCACACACAGUAAACACAUCUAAUGUUCGAAGACAUGUUAUCCUCUCUAUUCCCUUUGGUAUGAAGGCCACACCUGAAUCAUAAAUCCGGAGAUGCCUCAAUUUGAUAAGUUUUCCAAUCGCCUUGGGCAAUUCCUUGAGAGACCGACACCAAGUAACGUCUAGGGAUUGCAGAUUGCAUAAAUCACACAUGGUUUCUGGCAGGGACUCCAACUCUCCACACCAUGCCAAAUUGAGGUGUCUCAAAUGUAUCAAUUUCCCUACCUCGUUUGGUAUUUCUUUGAUUGAAGACCUUGUCAAAUUCAAUGACCUGAUGCAUGUCAACUGUUUGAACAAAUCAGGCAGUGCAGCUCCAAGCGAAGGGUCUCUAGUGCCGAUCAAGAGGCUGCGAAGACCUUUUGCUUUGUGAAUGGACUUGGGAAAAGAGCUCUCCUCUGACAGCAUCAUGCUUAAAUGACGAACCCUUUCAAUUGAAGUCUCCAUUGUUGCUUCUCCAAGUUUACUGGCAUCCACUGUUAGACAUUCAUUUUUUGUCAUAUAUUGGGCAAAAUCAUGCACUAUAUCAUGCAUCUUGAAUUUCAUUCCUUCAAACCAAUGCCUCUCAAAAUCUUGGAAGAAAGAGCGCGCUGCCAAGACUUGAAAGCACUCCUCUCCAACAAGCUCCAUAUCUCCACCUGAAGUCUCCUUGAAGUAACCUUGAGCCAUCCACAUCUUCACCAAUUCAGAUUUUCCCAUCUCGUAGCCUUUUGGAAACAUGGCACAAUACAAGAAACAUCGUCUUACCCUUGCACUUAUUUGCAAUUUUAUCGCUGGUUUCUGUCAAUCUUUCGCACUCAUCUUUGCUUCUUUUAUUGAAUGCCACCUGAAUGAAUAUGGACCUGCAUACCUCAUCAGACAAUCUCUCAAGGAUGAUCAUGUGGUCGGUUCCCAUCAUGGUUGCCACAGAAUGUUUACGAGUGGUCACUAGAAUUCUGCUUCCUGGUGCUCCGCCUUUGAGAGAGUGUUUCAGCGGUUCCCAUUGUCCAUAAUUUUCUGUCCAGACAUCAUCUAGGACAAGAAGGAACCUCUUUCCCUUAAUGGAUUCAGAAACCCUUUGCAAAAGGGAUUGCAAUUCAACCAAAUCCGGUGCCCUCCCUUCAAGCUGCUCGAGGAUAGCUUUGCCUAUCCUAACCUCAUCAAAUGGAUCUGAAACACACACCCAUAUCUUCUCAAAAUGAGCCGUAACCUCAGCAUCAUUAAAAGCUAGUUGGGCGAGAGUUGUCUUUCCAAUCCCGCCCAUCCCUACUAUAGAGAUGACCUCUACGUCCCCUGCUUCCUGAAUACUUUCGCCCAGCAACUUGCUUACUACAGCUUCCCUUUCAUCAUCUCGACCAGUCACGAUUGAUUCAUCAACAAGGGAGGUACUUGUUAUUCGUUGGAGUUCAUCAGUGGCUCUGUACGGAUCAAAGCCAUACAUAGCUCUCGCUUUCGCAAUGUCAUCCACUUUUUCACAUACUUCUUUGAUCUUGAGGGCAAUGUCUCGACGUCGAACCACUUGAUUGAGACAAAAGCAAGGAGAUUUCAGGAAGGAACAUCGCAUCUUCUGUAGGCUGCGAGUAUUUUCUUCAGCUUCCUCCAUUUUCCAUGUAAGAAUUGCUGAGCUCCAUUCAUCUAGCACGUCAUCCAUAUCAUAACAUACAUCUUUGAGCUUGUCUACCCAAUCUCUUACAGCCUUAUCCUUCACUUGUUUUCUAUCUGCGUCUUCAAGGAUAGAUUGGAUAACAAUGAGAUUGCUUUUCAGCUUGUCGACUUCGUUUCUUCACACCCCCUACUAGGUUCACCUCUUCAUGUACCUAUUAGGGUAGAAAAGAUCAGAAAGUUCAAGCAGAGGAAACAUUUCUAUGAUUUCAAUACAAGUUUUUUUAUUUUAAUUUUUCGUAAUUAAUAGAUUAAAUAAUUUUUAUUAAUCUUUUUUUUUGCAGUAGUUGACACGUGCUGUGAAAUGGAUUGGCUAUAUUAAUAACUUAUAUAUAAAAUAUUUAUUGAAAACUUAUAUAUUAAAGAUAAUGCUUCUUUUUAUCAUCAUCAUGAUGAUAUCUCUCUGCACUCUGCUACUAUACAAGGAAGAAAAUGAAUCUUAAAUUGUUCCAAUCAAAGAAAUAUAGUGAUUAAAAGGAUCUGUAUUUGUUGGUAUUUGUAAAGUCUAUUUGGAAAUAAAUAUUCUUCCUUUAAAGUGAACUAAUUAUUUUAACAUUUGAUUGAUUAUUUUACCCUUAGCAGUUCAGUUUAAUGAGAGGAUUGACAACUCCUUUUUCCUUCUAAAGAUUAUUUCCAGAAAUAUGAAAAAUAAUAAAACAAUAAAAAUAAAUUUCCUUAAUAAAAUCCAAAUCUAGAUCUGAGUAUUUGAGAUUUUAUUUUAUUUUUAUGGUAGAGGAACAAAAAAAGACUUCAUUUUUAUAUUUCUUAUUCAUGUUAGGUUAAUUGGAUCAUUGCAAAUUGUAGAAAGGCAAUUACCUGUUGAGCAACGAUCCUCGUUAACUGCUCCAGAAUUGGCGAUAAAAGUGCCUCUGCCAUUUGUCUGUUUACUUUUAUUUUAUUUCUUAAAAAAAGAGAGACAAUGAUGAUAGGAUGAACAGAGAGGGAGAGAGAAGAGAGUAUGAGGGGAAGGAGGCUGCUGAUUUAGUUAGUUUAGAGCGGAGAAGCUAAAUGAAUAGCUAAAAAUAAAAAAUUAAUAUUUUAGUUUUUCUUUACUUGUUUUAUACACUCCAAGAAAAAAGUCAAAUAAAAUACUAAAAUACCUUUUUUCUCCCACAAAUGUUAUUCCUAUAUAUCUCUCAAAAGAGCCAAAAUUAAUCAAGUGGGGCCAACAAAAGAAUAAACCAAUUAAAUCUAGCCAUGUGAAAAAAAAAUAACAUCAAAAUCAUUAAAAAAAAUAAAACACUUCUUUAUUCUACUCUAAUAGAAUUGGCUUUUUAAAUGGCUUUUUUUCCAUUAGAAUAUACAUGAUAAAAAAAGUUAUAUUUAUACUAUUCAAAAUGCUAUUUUAUCAAUUUAUCUUUUUAAAAUAGCAUUUUACUUUGGAGAUGUUCUUAUAUGUGCUUAGGGUUUGGUGGUGAGGGUUGACUUUUGUUUCAAUGCCUGCGCUGUUUCUAACAUUUCAAUUCAGUCCCUAUAUUAUUGAACUUUUCAGUCUAGUGUCGGUCAGGGUUUUGUUAACAGGAAAAGGAUUGCAGGGAUGGCUGGUCUGAGUGAUGGAAGCUGGCUGAAGCUGGGGCUGUGUGGAUAUCAGUUAAAUUUUGAUGCAGGCUCUUGAACUAGAAACCAUGUAUUAGUUGUCUCAUAUAGGACACUUUACUAUUACAUUUUGAUGCUGGCUCUUGAACCAUUACCCUCUUCGCUCCAGUUGAGAAGAAUUUUUAAUUUAUAUUCCUGAUGAUCAUCGUUAUGCUAUGUAAUGUAGUGAUUCAAUCGCGCCAUUUCUUAUGUUUAGAAAUCUAUGUUUUGGUAACUUGUCUCUUGUUUUUUUUUUUUUCUUGUUGGGUUGCUCAGGUGCUAUCUACAUUGAUUCUGAUAUCAUAGUUUUGAAUUCAUGGUCUUCACUUAAUAACACGAUUGGUCUGGAGAAUUCUACUGAGAGAUUAUCGCAUUCUACUGAAAUUCCUGAAAUUGAUUAUAGCAUUCUACUGAAAUUCCUGCUUCUCAUCUGUUUCUCCAUUUCUUCUCUUCAUUUAAUGUUUAUCUGGUAUCAGUAGCAUGUGCUGGUCAUGGCAAAAAAGUAUGGAAGGAUUGCUGGUUUGCGUGAAUGGAGCUCCUUUAAAUGGGAGGUUCGUUUGUGAAGGGGAGCAAAUGGGUGUGAAAAGGACAAGAAAUGAGGAAAGAAUUCAUAUUGUCUGGACCACAUCACCUUCCUUUCUUCUUCUUUUUUUUGUUUUCAUUCCUUUUUUAUUGUCUCUUUCUACUUUUUCAUAAUGAAAUUCAGAUCUAAAUUACAGAGGAAAUCAGCAUGCUAGAUUCAGCAGCGUUUGGGGUCAGAAUGCCAUUGUUGGGAAGAAGACAACAAAUUAUGUGUAGCUUAGCAGCCAUUGUUGCUGCUUCAGGAACACCAAACUCCCUUGUCAAAAAACUGGAUCCAUAUGCAUUUUGCAAUUAAGUCAUUAUGCUUUAAACUCAUUCUAUGUGUCUUUCCUUACAAAAAAAAAAAAAAAAAAUGGUUAUUUGCUGUCUUCAAACCCGAGAGUUUCGUUGCGUUCUGUUUCAAUUCAGUCAGUCUUUAUUAGUCAAUGCUUCGUAGAACAGAGGCACCUCAUUGCAGAGUGCGGGUACAAAACUAGUGUUGAGGUGAGGUCAUAUGUCCUACCAAAAUGGAUUUUGAUCAUAAUAAUUAGAAGAAGAAAAAAAAACAACAUUAAUAAUUGAUCAUCGUGGCUACAAAAUGAAGUGGAACUAAUAAUUAAUGGAGUGUAUAUAAUAAUCAUAAUCAUAAUAAUACUAAAUAAAAUGAAUUACUAUGUGUAUUCUAUAAUUUAGUUAUAUAAUAUAGCAGAUCUGUACAAAUUAGUAAUUUCAACUUACCAAUAAAAAAAUUAUAGUAGAUUUUUACCGUGGUAUGAUUGCAAUAAAUAAAAUAAAAUAAAUUUACUUCACAGCAUUAAUAAUUUUUUAGUUUUUGUCAAACAAUAUCAACACACAUGUAUAUUAUGCAUUCACUCAUUUUUUUAAAAAUAAUUAUAAUAAAAUUAAUUAGUUAUUUAUUAUAAAAACUAGACCUAUAAGUUAUGUCUAAGCUGUUAAAAAUAAUAAAAAUAAAAUAAUUUAAAGAUAUAAUAUAUUUUAAAUAAAAUUAUUAGUCAAUCUAUAUCGAGUUGUUUUAUCUACUAAAUUAAAAAAUUUAAGUUUUUAUAUCACUUAGAAUACUUAUGUUGAAUUUAAUCCAUAAAAUCGAUGGGUAUCAUCUCUUACAGAUGAAUCGAUGGGUAUCAAGUUACAUGCCAUCUUGCAACUUCGAAUAACAGACCACUCGACUGGCUCCAAAAUCAAACCAUCUCCACCUCAUUCAACACGAUUUAAAAUAAUCAACACCACCUUUUUAUACAAUGUGGGAUUGAUGAGGAUAUAAAUCUACAAACUCCAUCCAAAGUCUCAAUCUUAUAGUGUUCUUAACUAGUAUAGUAACGCCUCAUUGGCAAGAACCCAAAUCACUAAUAAAAAUUACAACUUUACACCGAAUUUGAACAGAUUUCUACGAGCCGAUGUCACUAAACUCAAAUUACUCCUAAAAAUCUCAAUAUAAACCCAUUAACUACUAGACCAACACCUCAUUGGCUAGAAUCCACGUUGCUUUUCCACAACAAUCAUCAGCUUCUUCAAUUAGGAUGCUACAAGCCCUUGUCUAUAUACUAGCUUAAAUUGCGACAACCUUUGAUUCCGAGAGAAGUUUGGCCUGAUCCAACGGCAGUCAAUGCGUGCUCAAUCUGUACUAGCUUUCCGGUAGGACUGAAAGUAGUGAGAGAAAAGGAGUACUGGCGACCCAUGGUUUAAUGCUUCAACACGCAGAGAGGAAAAACUGAGAAUGCGAGCGUGUGGGAGAGAAAGAAAGGGAUAUUUACUUGGGGUCUUAACUCUGCUUUUCUUGUUGGAGAAGAAGGUGUUUUCUUACGAGGGCUUUUACAAUGGAGUAUUUUGGGCUUUUAUAACGGCAGCUUGGUUCUCUUUACAUUGAGCUCAAUGUUUUUCCCAGAAAUCUGCCCUUCAAAUCUGCAAACACAAACAAUCUUGUAAGGGUACAAGGGAAGCACUCAGAACUUGUAAGAAACUUUAAAAUGCUCAUUUAUAUCUCUCUUUGACCACUUUGCAAAAACUAAGAUUAUGCUCACUAGUCCACCAUCACUCUGAUUAUAGAAGCAAGACUCGACAAUUUAACAACUUAAAAUCACUAAGAGGAAAGAAAAGGAACCUUCAAGCACCUGCAAGUACAUUUGAUUGACACUGGGUUGAGAAACUUUCAUUCAUUUUCACUUAAACAGUAUCUCACAUAAUUUAAUCUCCUGAACUACUAACUAAAGUGUUGAGAGCCAAUUUUGACAUAGGUAAUAAGUUGCACAAGUUAGUAAGAAGUGGCUCAUUGAGCAACCAAAUUGCCAAGAUGUCUUAUUUCAAACCCAAGAACAGAGGAAUGCCUUAUUUUUAUUUUUCUAAGGAACUACAUAUUUGCCCCCCUCUUUUUUUCAGUUGAAACAGAAACAGGGUACAUGUACAACGUGUUAAAGUCAAGUCCAUAACCAGACCAAUUAAGAACAUUGACCUACAAGGAGUUCCACUGAAGUUCAGAUUAUAAGCAGGCAUGCUUCUAUCUCAAUUUACCACCCCGGGUCAAAUUUCACACUUAUCAGGACACUAUAACAACAGCAGAAACUUUACAAUUUCCCACCAAACAUAAAGAGAGCUUUGAAUCUACACACCCGCCUGCUACAAUCAUUCAUGACAGAUAUUUUAGCAAAAUUAAGGCCAGAGAAACACAAGCUAAAAAAAUGGAACUUCCUAAUUACUGAGAAGCAGGCAGAAACAAACCUGUAGACAACUCCAAUAUUGGGUGUCAGAUUCUGUAUUUUCUGAACCUGAAACAGGAAGCAAUUAAAUACCAUCAACAACCAACUCAAGUUACAUCCCAUCUUGCAAAUUAGAAUAAUAGACCAAUCAACUGGCUCCAAAAUCAAACCAUCUCCACCUCAUUCAACACGAUUUAAAAUAACCAACACUACCUUUUUAUACAAAGUGGGAUUGAUGAGGAUAUAAAUCUACACACUCCAACAUUCAAAGUCCCAAUCUUAGAGUCAUUGACUAGUAUAGUAACGCCUCAUUGGCAAGAACCCAAAUCACUAAGCUCAAAUUACUAAUAAAAAUUACAAAUUUACACCGAAUUUGAACAGAUUUCUACCAACCGAUGUCACUAAAGAAAACGCAAAAAAAAAAAACGCAAAAAAACAAAAGGGCUUCUUGAAUUUAAACCAAAGAAUAUAACAAAACCAAUAAAAAAAUAAUAAAUGUUUACUUACAGAAGAUUCAUCGACUAAAAUAGAUGGCAAUUUCUUCUCAGUUGCAACAACAACACCGCUUGCCGCUACAACACCAAAAAAAUAAUAAAAUCAAACAACAUGGUAUCUAAGCACCCAUCAACAACAGUAGUGCAUUCGAAAAUGACAAGAAAAUGAGAAAACAAGAGAGAGAGGAGCUUAAAUUGCAACAACCUUUGAUUCCGAGAGAAGUUUGGCCUGAUCCAACGGCAGUCAAUGCGUGCUCAAAUCUGUACUAGCUUUCCGGUAGGACUGAAAGUAGUGAGAGAAAAGGAGUACUGGCUAUCACCCAUGGUUUAUUGCUUAAGACGCAGAGAGGAAAAACUGAGAAUGCGAGUGUGUGGGAGAGAAAGACAGGGAUAUUUACUUGGGGUUUUAACUUUGCUUUUCUCGUUGGAGAAGAAGGUGUUUUCUUACGAGGGCUUUUACAAUGGAGUAUUAUGGGCUUUUAUGACGGCAGGUUGAUCCUCUGUACAUUGAGCUCAAUGAAGGCUCGGGACCAGUUUUGUUUUCAAGUAUUAUUAACAAAUAUUUAUUUAUUUAUUAAUAUACAUAAUUUUUAAUUUAUUUAAUAACAUUUAUAUAUAUAAUUUUUAAUUUAUUAUAUUUUUUGAACUAGAAAAAAUAAUUUUCCAGAUCGUGAUGUAUAUUUCUCACAUUGUUUAAAGAAGCUAAUUUAACAUUUUUGUUUAGUAAACUAAAUAUUCAACAACUUGGGCGACAAAUAUCUGGUUGCAGCGUGCAGAGAGUAAAAACAAAAUAACUCCCACAAAACCGUUGACCCAUUUUAGACAUGAAGCCAUAGUGUUGUUCGGGGCCCAGCACCGUAAGAGGAAGGCUCCCUCUAAAUUAUAAUUUGGCCCCCUUAAUUUUUUUUCCUUGCUCCGCCCCUGCAUGGAGGGUGGUGAGUUUUGGAUCUAUAAUUAUGCUCUCCAGCGUUUUAUUCAUUGGCUUGGACAGCCUGGCUAACAAUAAUAGCAUAACCACUGCAACAGUGGUUUACAAAUGAUACAUACCUCUUCAGCUUGCUUCCCUCAUUUAUUUGGAUUGAAUCCACUGAAACUGAGGUUUAAGAAUUUCUUGGAUUUAAUCCACUGAAACAGUUGCUUGAUCAAGAUCAUUGGCUUGUUUGAAGGCAGAUAAAGGCUUAAAAAAAAAAAAAAAGCGAAAGCAAGAAAAGGAGGAUGUGAGAAAUAAUUAUAGAUAUGAGUUCCAGUAGUUGAAACAUAUGAAUUACAUAUCAUUUUAUGUUGAGAGAGAAAGAGAGAGAGAGAGAGAGAGGAUGAGAGAGAGGUAUAUCACAGCUGCAUUUGAUAGACUAAAUGGUAAGUAGGAAAUAAAAUCGAAUUACAGUAAAAAGGUCACAUUGAAUGAAAUCCUCCAUGUAAGUAAAAAAGGUCCACAGAGUAAAUGGUAAGAAUUAACACCAAAGCAAAUAACUAACACUCAGAACCAAAUCUUUUACCGUUAAGAAUUAACACUGGUAGAAGAAUUUACCUCUUCCUGCUGGUUCUAAAGACUAAAGAAUUUACCUAUAUAGCAUCAAAAUUAAUCUUUGGGAUGUGAGAAAUCUUUUGCCAAUCUUCACCCAUCUCCUCUUUCCCGUAAUGUUUCCUUAGAUUGGGGCAUCUACAUAUAUUUAAUUCCUGUAGAGGCGCUGCCAAAACAUAGUCUGGUAGUGCUCUCAACAACGGGCACUGGUUAAUUCCCAAAUAUUGAAGUUGUGGCAUAAUGGAUAUUAUUGAAGUUGUGUUGGCAUCUUCUUCUCCCACUCUCCUUCCAAUUCCUUCCCACUCUUCUACUUCUUUGAGGAAAAAAAUGCCAAGUUUUUUUAAUUUGGGGAAAGCAGUGACCCUUGCAAUUUCUCCUUCAUUAAUACUGGCAUUCUCAUCUUUUUCUAUACCUAAAAAUCCAGCAUCCAACCUUCUCACCUUCAACGAGCUCAAUACCAGGAUUUCAAGGUUGGGCAAUCUCCCCAACGGAGGCAAGACCUCCGCGUUUUCGCCAAAAUCAAGUCUAAGCUCCUGUAAUCUGGUUAAUGUCAUCAUCCAAUUUGGCAAAUCCAACCCUCCGUACCUAGAUAUGGUUAGAUUUUCCAAGCCUGACGGAGGCCGUAAAGCUUCAAUUAAAGAGCCUUCAUUCAUUUGCAACUCUGUUUUCUCUCUGUCGAAAUCCAAUUCCAAACGAAGCAGGCUCUUCUUAUUCUUGAGUUGUGCUUCUGCAGCGUCACUCGCAUCUUCUUUACCUCCUCCUAGAUUCCGUAUACGAAGACUCCCUCCAAUGUGAUUCAAGUCUUUUAAUUCUCUUAGAUUAGCUGCUUUACUUUCAUUCUCACCACCACCACACACAGUAAACACAUCUAAUGUUCGAAGACAUGUUAUCCUCUCUAUUCCCUUUGGUAUGAAGGCCACACCUGAACGAUAAAUCCGGAGAUGCCUCAAUUUGAUAAGUUUUCCAAUCGCCUUGGGCAAUUCCUUGAGAGACCGACACCAAGUAACAUCUAGGGAUUGCAGAUUGCAUAAAUCACACGUGGUUUCUGGCAGGGACUCCAACUUUCCACACCAUGCCAAAUUGAGGUGUCUCAAAUGUAUCAAUUUCCCUACCUCGUUUGGUAUUUCUUUGAUAGAAGACUCUGACAAAUUCAAUGACCUGAUGCAUGUCAACUGCUUGAAUAAAUCAGGUAGUGCAGCUCCAAGCGAAGGGUCUCUAGUGUGGAUCAAGAGGCUGCGAAGACCUUUUGCUUUGUGAAUGGACACGGGAAAAGAGGUCUCGUUGGCCAACAUCAUGCUUAAAUGACGAACCCUUUCAAUUGAAGUCUCCACUGUUGCUUCUCCAAGGUAUUGACAUCCACUGUUAGACAUUCAUUUUUUGUCAUAUAUUGGGCAAAAUCAUGCACUAUAUCAUGCAUCUUGAAUCUGAUAAUUUCUAGACCAUACUUCUUACAAUCUUGGAAGAAAGAGCGUGCUACCAAGACUUGAAAGCACUCCUCUCCAACAAGCUCCAUAUCUCCACCUGAAGUCUCCUUGAGGUAACCUUGAGCCAUCCACAUCUUCACCAAUUCAUAUUUUCUCAUCUCGUAGUCUUUUGGAAACAUGGCACAAUACAAGAAACAUCGUCUUACCACAGAAGGUAAAUCGUAGUAACUCAAAAGCAAAGGUGGAAAUAGUCCUCUUUCAACAUGUUCUAGCUCCCACAGUUCGCUAGAUAAAACAUGUUCCCACUCUUCUCUUGUUCUUUUAGACUGCAUUAGACCUCCUAAUACCUUGGCAGCUAGAGGCAAGCCCUUGCAAUUGCUUGCAAUUUUGCCGCCUAUUUCUGUCAAUCUUUCGCGCUCAUCUUUGCUUCUUUUAUGGAAUGCCAACUGAUUGAAUAUUGACAUGCAUACCUCAUCAGACAAUUUCUCAAGGUUGAUCACGUGGUCGGUUCCCAUCAUGGUUGCCACGGAAUGUUUACGAGAGGUCACUAGAAUUCUGCUUCCUGGUGCACCGCCUUUGAGAGAGAGUUUCAGUGGUUCCCAUUGUCCAUGACUUUCUGUCCAGACAUCAUCAAGGACAAGAAGGAACCUCUUUCCCUUAAUGGAUUCAGAAACCCUUUGCAAAAGGGAUUGCAACUCAACCAAAUCCGGUGCACCCGCUUUAAGCUGCUCAAGGAUAGCUUUGGCUAUCCUAACCUCAUCAAAUGGAUCUGAAACACACACCCAUAUCUUUUUCUCAAAAUGAGCCGUAACCUCAGCAUCAUUAAAAGCUAGUUGGGCGAGAGUUGUCUUUCCAAUCCCACCCAACCCUACUAGAGAGAUGACAUCCACGUCCCCUGCUUCCUGACUACUUUCACCCACCAACUUGCUUACAACAGUUUUCUUUUCAAAAUCUCGACCAAUCACGCUUGAUUCAUCAACAAAGGAGGUACUUGUUAGUCGUUGUAGUUCAUCGGUGGCUCUAUACGGAUCAAAGCCAUACGUAGCUCUCUCUUUGGCAAUGUCAUCCACUUUUUCGCAUACUUCUUUGAUCUUAAGGGCAAUGGCGCGACGUCGAACCACUUGAUUGAGACAAGAGCAAGGAGAUUUCAGGAAGGAACAUCGCAUCUUCUGUCGGCUGCGAGUAUUUUCUUCAGCUUCCUCCAUUUUCCGUCUAAGAAUUGCAGUGCUCCAUUCAUCUAGCACGUCAUCCAUAUUAUAACAUACAUCUUUGAGCUUGUCUAGCCAACCCUUUACAGCCUUAUCCUUCACUUGUUUUCUAUCUGCAUCUUCAAGGACAGAUUGGAUAGCAACGAGAUUGCUUUUCAGCUUGUCAACUUGUUUCUUCACACCCACUACUAGGUUCACCUCUUC